UGGCCUUCUUCCAAGCCUGGUGGAUAAGUGUGGAUUGUGGAAGCAUUGUUCCACGAGGCUUCAGGUUCGAAGGCUGGUAUCCGUUGGGAUGGCGACUUUGAUGAAUCAUGUAUCCAUGUAUGUAUGUGCAUGUGUGUGUGUGUGUUUAUAUAUAUAUUUCAACAAUAUGAGGUAUUUCAAAAUACCUCUGUUUUUUUUUUUCAUACAUAUUUGUUUUUCCCGUCUGUUUUAUGGACAUAAUUCCAUCUCUAUAAAACCUAGCUUCUUAAGUCCAAAAACGUGACCUCUAGUUAUACAGCUUUGACUUAUCACUUAUGUAAACUUGCCUUGUCGCAUUUUUUCUCCAUAUAUUUUUUGUCCAUUACCAUCGUGUCAUGUUACUUCUUAAUCCAAUUAUACAUUGUCAUCUUGAGAAAAAUUUGUACAAAAACAAUACUUUAUUGAACAAGAAACGCGAUAUGACAGUAAACUCGUUAAAGAUUGGAAAAUAUCUUUUGAAGAGAACAUUGUUAGGCCCCAAAUCCAAAUAGUCGAUAGACAUUCAUAGAAAAUGUUUUUGCAUAUUAACCACUGGCCUUCCUCCUAGCCUUAUGGAAAGUGCACAAGCAUGAUCCCUGUAGGGUCUGGGUUCGAGGGCAGGUAUCCUGCGAAUUUGAUGUUCUUCAUGGCCCCUCAGAGGAAACAUAUUAUAUCAACAAUAUGAGGUAUUGCAAAAUACCUCUGUUUUUUUAUGUACCUACUAUUUUCUCUCCUCUAUGUAUUUAAUUAACUCUAUAAAUGUUUAUGUAUUUGUUCAUUAUUAGUGAUUUUUUAUUCUUUCUCGAAGUCUAAAUAUUUUUAAGUUAAAAUGUUCAUAAAGAUAAUCUAAAUUUUAUGAGUUAACCCAAAGAGUGGAGAUAAUCUUAUUAAACCAUUUUAUACUUAUUUUUUUUUCAGUGGUAUAACUUAUUAUUGUACUUAGCAUCAAAACAACAACUUCACAUUCUUGUUCAAUAAUUAUUUCGUUUAGAGAUAGAGAAGAUAUAUUGAAUACAAAGAUAUAUACAUGGUAGACGAAGGAAGCUUGGAGGGGUGUUGAGGAAAUGUAAUGCAAUUAUAUACAAAUUAAAAACUGCAAACCAAAGUCUGGAAACAAUUCUAAAUUGUUUUCACUUUCAACUUUUUGUUUCAUAUAUUAUCUUUCAGUUUUCCCUUCCUUCCCCUCACCAUUCUUGCUUCACCCUUCUUCAUAAAUCGAUAGAUUGAUCCAAAUAGAGGACACAAGGACCCGUGUAUGUUUUAUUGAGACAUAAAAUUAGAGUGGAAAAUAUUGAGCACAAAAACAUUAUCUCAUUUCAAAUUAUUUAAAAAGCAGAACAAAAGCAUAUGAGAUUUUUGUUUUUGUUUUUUUUAUUUUUAUUUUUUUUAUCACAUAUAGAUAUGCAUUGGGAAACUUAUUCACCAAAUGUAGCUACAAAUGUCAAAUUAAAAAGGGUUGUUUUAUUAACACCUCACAUUUUGUUGACCACACCCCAUGUACUAAAACAUCCCACAUUUACUUUUUAAAUUAAAAAUUAUCUUAAUCCACCCCACCUAAUUUCCUACACUACCCUUACACCCCACAAGGAAAUAAUAAAGGUUGUUGCUGCCUUGUUGGGAGAUUUAUCCAGUGUUAGAAAGAAUUGCUUCUGUUUGUCGAAUUCGAGGAAAUAAAAGGCGCCUGGCUUCUAGUGUACUGCUAUCUGUAUAAUUUAGCUGUUUUUGUUUGGUUCUUGCUAUAGUCUCUGACUUGACCUCUUACAUUUUUAUCCUAUUUUGCUCUAGGGUUUCAAACUUCAGCUAGCUUUUCUCUUCUUGAAGUCUCUCCUUUCAACCGAAAAAAUGAGAAAUGAAACUCUCAUUUUUAGACAUUCUUAACUGCCAAAUGGAAUCAGUUUCUGAUUCAUAAUUAAUGAUUAUGCAUGUAUCAGCAUCAAUAUAUUUCCUUUACGAAAAAUCUCAUGGGUUCCUUGUAGCAUUUGCGAUUGCGAUCGUGAUUACACCCCCAACUUAUGAAAAUUAUCUUUAAAAAGGUGAAAUCGGAAUUUGCAUAAAAUGUUUUCAAAUUUGAACUCUUUGACUGCAACUCGAAAACAAGAAAAAUCGAUCUCAACAUGUUCUUGAAUUAUUAUUAGGUUUUUCUAUUAAAAGAACUUACGGAGUGUACUAUAUAUUUAAGGCUUAAAUAGUCAUUUUAUAUCAAGAUAUAUGAGUUAUUUAUUAUUAAAUUUUAUGUGGAGUUUAGUCAACAAAAUGUGGAGUGUUAAUAAAAAAACCAAUUAAAAAUGAUAUACAAAUAGAGCAAAAAUUGGCUGGGCCCAAACUCAACUUGUGAGGACUAAGUUGAUUUUUGGGCUUCCAUUUGGACCGGCUUUCUUCUUAGCCUAGUGGUUAAUUGCGGUAAGCAUGAUUCCUCAAGAUUCUGGCUUCGAAGGCUGGUAUUUGCGAUGGUGAUGAUGAUGAAUCGAUGAAUGGAUGAGACGUUGGUAUUUAAAAUAAUUUAUGACCGCACGAUGUACAAUAAACAGAGAGGAUCUUCAUUCCUUUAACCAAAUGAGGUAUUCUAAAAUACCUUUGUUUUUCUAUAUUUUCCACAUGGAAAAUGAUACAAAGGAAUUGUGAAUUUCAUUUACAAAAGAGAAAUUUUAUCUGGACCCAGUUUUUUUCUUUUUAAACCCAACUUUAAUAUUUUGUUACCUAAACUCUCUAGUUUAUCCUCAUAAAUAAUAAACUGGAAAAACAAAAACUCAUCAAGCCUAUUUCUCGACUGUUCUCUCUCCUUCCGGUGGGCUCCUCCCUGUCUUUGUUGGGUCUGUCUCCCUCCUGACUAUUUUUUUUCUUUUUUUGAUAUGAAGGAAAAAAGAGAAGGUCUGGAGUGGUGGUUGAGUGGUGGAGCUGCAUGUGGGUGCUAUCUUGGUUGAAUGGGUGUAGAAAGAUAUUUAAUUUUCAUUUACUUAUUUCAUUGUUACUCAAAUGUUACUCAAAUAUUAAUUAACGUGCUUAUUUCUUAUUGCUAACGUAUCAUUUAGUUUAGAAAUUUAGUCUACCUAGCAUUACUUAUUUUUUAUAUAGUUUUCUUCCCUCUGUUUUAUUUUAUUUCGUUCCAUUUAUUAGGUUAACACCAAUUAUACUAUUUUGCAUUCUAUACUUUAUUUCUUAUGCAAUUGUAUAAUUUAUUUCGUCAAAAUAUAGUUCAAUUUAAGAUUUUGUUAACAUUUUAUUAACUAAGUAUAGCACAUAAAAAUGUGUGUUGUGUUAUUCGGCAACUUUGCUAAAAUAAUACUAUAAAAAAUUUAAAAUUUAAAAUUUUAAUAUUUAUUUUUUAAUAAACUUUAAAAAUAGGCCUUACAAUACGUCAAAUUUAAAUGUAUUAAUAAAAUGUGUAAAAAUAAUGUAUAUUAAAUGUACGAAGUAUGUAUAUACAUGUAUAGUAUGUUGAAGUUUAAAAAAACAUGAUGUAAUUUAACAAAUCAUUAAGAUGUAUACAAAAAAAACAUAAUUAGGUGCCUUUUUUUUUGGUGAAUUUUUUUUCUUUUGUUAAAUGUUUGAGUAAUGCUAGGGAGACAAAAUUUGUAAACUAAAUGACAUGGAGGUUGAUGGUUGAAUUAUCACUUAAACAUUGAUAAACAUAUUCAUUUCUUAUUGGUGAGACAUCAUUUAGUUUGUAAGUUUUGUUUACAAAUUUAAUCUUCCUAACAUUGCUCUAAAUGUUUAUUUACCCUAAUACGCAACUACGAUUAUGGACAAAAUACAUUCAACAUAAAAUAAUAUAUCUUCUUCUUCUUCCUAAGCAAAUAUUGGUUUGGUUAACAGCCUCAAUACACCUUAUGUUCAUAUAUUCGUCUCUCUCUCUCUCUCUCUCUCUCUCUCUCUCUCUCUCUCUCUCUCUCUCUUAUAGCCUAAUUUGGUAUUUAGGGUUAGGUUUGUAUGAAUUUGUAAUUUGAAAUUGUAAUUAAUUAGGGUUUGGUUUUAUGCUUCAUUCUUCAUCUUCUGGAUUUAGGGAAUUCCAUCCAAUUUCCAGUUUGUUGCAUUCAAUUUAUUAGUGUCAAUGGGUAACUCCCCGAGGGCACAAAAGCAGAGAAGAAAAGAAAUACAAGUAUAUGGAUUGGAGUGUUGUCUUGCAUAAUACCCAAUAGUAGGGGAGAUACUUGCUCCACCUUAAUCAAUCGUUCAAUACUUCUAAUACAAUUUCUAUGGGACUAGGGUGAUGAAAUUUGGUUGUGGUGUACUCUUAGUGCGCGGUUGACGUCUUUGUGUUGCGAUUUCUUGUUCAAAUUAAACACUCGGUUGUUUCUUCCAUCGUGACUAUCUUGGUGGUUGAUAGCAAGAUGUUUGUGGCGGCGGCAACGAUGCUCGGUCUUUGAAAGAUAGAAAUUAAAGUUUCUAUUAUUUUUGUUUGUUUUGGUUAAUGGGCUGGGUUUAUUGUGUACAUGGGUUUUUCCAAUUUUUUUGAGUUGCUUGUCAUCCUUUGUGUUGGCCCGGUGAUAUAUGUUGGACCAUCCAAUUACAACCCCUUUUUUUUUUUUUUUCUUAAUGCAAUGAAAUUUACUUUUUGGACAAAAAAAAAACAAUAGUAUGAGCUCUGUGGUAAUAGUAAUGGAUAGGGUGAUUGUAAUUACCAAAAUAGACGAGGAGAAGGUGUGGCAAUUGGUUGUGCUCGAUGAACUCCUUAUAUUCGUGUCAAUUUGUAGAUUAGGGUUUGGGUUUUGAGUUCAUAUAACAUGUCAUGUGCAAAAUUAUCACUCCUUCCUGCGUACUAGAAUAUCUCAGUUUGUUACAUGAUUGGAAUUCAUUUGACAAAUUUCCUCUAAUUAAAGUGAUGGAAAAGACCAAAUUUCUCUAAUGGUCCAUCAAUCCAUGGACUCUAGUCUCAUUCAUCCUUCGUAUUAGUCCAAUCGUUAGUUAAGUUAAUUCCUUUAUCCAUUUGUGCAUAUAUUAUCAUUUGGAGCCUAAAUUCGAAGAAUUUAUCCCUCAUUUGAAAUACUGAACUAAUGAUGUAAAUGAAAUGAAAAAAAAAAACAAUUGUAUUUUGUCUUCUUUAUCUUUUUUUAUCAACUUAGUCAAUUUAUGGAUAAAAUAUGAUAAAGACCAAUAUUAGUAAGACAGUAAAUCCAUUGUUGCGCUUUCAACCAAAUCGAAGAUUGUUGAAUCAUUGGUGAAGAUUAUUCACUUUUACAUUUUGGUCGUAAAAUUUAGCUAACUUUAUUAUUAUUAAUUAAUCAUUCCUCAUGAUCAGUAGAUGUGUAUAUAAAUUCAUUUUUAUAUUUCAAUUCAUUUUUAUAUAAAUUCGUUUUCGAUUCAACGGUAUGCCAAACAGAAUCAGUAACCCCAAAAAGUUCAUUUGUGGGACCUAAAAAAACCCUCGCUCAAUAUCUUUCAUGCCAGAAGGGGACAUUGGCCCAAAUCCAAAUGGUCGUAGGUAUAUAAUUCAGUUUGCAUGCACUUAUACCGGCCUUCUUACUAGCCUGGUGGAUAAUUGUAGGUUGUGGAAGCAUUAUUCCAUUAGGUUCCAGGUUCGAAGGCUGGUAUCCGUUGAGAUGCCGACUUUGAUGAACCAUGAUUGCAUGUGUGUGUGUAUGUGCGUGCGUACGUAUAUAUACGUAUAUAUUUCAACAACAUGAGGUAUUUCAAAAUACCUCUGUUUGUUUUUGUAACAUAUUUGUAUUUUUAAAGUAAAAAUGUGAUUUUUCGUUAAAGUGAAUAGUAUCGGAAGCUAUUCCUUAAACUUUCCCUUACUAAAUCGUAAAACCUUGUUACCUCUAGAAGAUGCACAAUCGUUUAACGAAGUCUACCAAGCCUUAGAAAUUAGGUUCAACAAGUUUGCGUUACAAUAUUACCCAUAAAUUGCGCAAGCUAGCAAUUAUUCAUACUAAAAAGAGAAAAAAAAAGAGAAAGAAAUAUGAUUGAUCAUGGGCAGGAGUAAUCAAACUUCUAAUCUAUCCAUUGUUUGUUUAGGGUAAUGAGAGAUAAUAAGGACACGAUUCCAUCUCUUUAAAGCGUAAUUUCUUUAGUCCGAGAACUUCAACCUUUAGUACUACAGCUUGGACCUAUUAGUUAUGUAAACUUGCCUUGUCGUUCUUUAUUUUUCUUAUAUUUUUUGUUCAUCGCUACGUGGCUUCUUGACCCAAUCAUACAUCGUCAUGUAGAAAAAAUUUGUACACGACAAUGUAUUAUUGAACAAAAACCGAGACGUGGCAGUGAAUCUGUUUCAAAUACGUUAUUCUCCUUAAUGGUUGGACAAUAUUUUUUAGAGAAAACAUUGGUUGGUGUCAAAUUCAAAUAAUAUCAAGCUUCAAAUAAAUUGUUUUUGCAAAUCAAACACCAGCCUUCCUCCUAACCUAAUGGAAAGUGCACAACCAUGAUCCUCGUAGGGUCUGGGUUCGAAGGUUGGUAUCCUGUGAAUUUGAUGUUCUUCAUCAUGCCCCUCGGAGGAAACAUAUAUAUCAACAAUAUGAGGUAUUACAAAAUACCUCUGUUUUUUUUAAUAUACAUAUUGUUUUUCACUCCUCUAUUUUAUUUACAAAAUACCUCUGUUUUUUUAAUAUACAUAUUGUUUUUCACUCCUCUAUUUUAUUUUUUACUUAAUACUAUAGUCUAGUGAUAUUCCUCUUCACUUAUAAGUGAAAAGUCUUAGGUUCGAUUCUCGCCAAAGACAAAUUUGACACAUUAUUGCUAGCCUAUUGGGAGAUUAAGCCCACCCCUUUCCCUUUGAGUAGAUAAUAUUGUUUGUUAAAAAAAAAAAAAAAACCAUAACGCGAACCAUACCCAAUUCCAUUGAGAUAAAGAAAUACAAAGCUUAGUUAUAUGCAAUCUAUAUGAAUUAGAAGAUACAUCGUUGUAUAGGUAUAAGUAAUGGAAUUCUUUGUUGAGGAAAUCCAUUUAUCUCUGUUUCCAGACCUAUGUCCGUACAAAAUUUGAGUCGUGUAACAAUUGUCGACCUACUCUCCCCAUAUACUAAAAACAAUUUGAAUGAUUCGGUCAAUUUUGGCCCACUCCUAAAUAAACCAUUUUAUACUUAUAUUUUUAUUCAAUGAUAUAACUUAUUAUUGUAUUUUGUGUCAACAACUCAACAUUCUUAUUUAAUAACCAUUUCGUUUUUAAUUUUACUAUUCCUAGAGAUAGAGAAGAAAUAUAUUGAAGACAAAGAUAUAUAAAUGGUAGAAGAAGGAAGCUUGGAGGGAUGUUGAGCAAACACAGUGGAAUGAUAUACAAAUUCAAAAGUACAAACAAAAAUCUGGAAACAAUUCUAAAUUGCUUUCACUUUCAAUUUUUUAUUUCAUAUAUUUUUUUUUCAGUUUUUCCAAAAAAAAUAUAUAAAUGGUAGAAGAAGGAAGUAGAGAGGCUUUCACUUUGAACUUUUUAUUUCAUACAUUUUCUCGCUUCGCCCUCCUUCUCGAAACGAUGGAUAGACCCAAGUAGAGGACACAAGGACCGAUGUAUGUUUUAGUGAGGCCUACAAAAUGAGAGUAAAAAACAUGAGAACAAAAAUAGUAUCUCAUUCCAAAUAAUUUAAAAAGUGUUGCUGUCAUAUUUAGAAUAGAAAUUUGAUUAUGUAAAUCCUAGUGAAUCUAAGAAUAUCUCUUAUAUUCCUAUUAGGAGUGGAUUACCUAUUAAGAAUUGUAAUCCUAAAAGGGUAAGGAUUUUACCUAUUCUACCACUAUAAAUAAAGGCAAAAUGGGAUGAUAUAACACACACCUCACAAUUAAAUCUCUCUCUUCUCUAUCUCACUAUUGUUGGCCUCCCUCUCUCUAUUCCCUCAAAAUAGCUCAGUUAAUUAGGCCUACAACACGUUAUCAGCACGCUCUUGCCAGAAGCUAAGGAAUUGACGAAUCGUAGGAGGAUGCUAUCUUCUACAAAAUUCAAAGGCUCUUUUUUUUUUUAUGCCAAUCAAGUACGCUUAAAAUAAAGGAAGAUAUUUGAAACGACCUUGAAACAUGAAAACAUUCCCCAUGAUGCAUGAACCCCCUAUGUUUAUAUUUUCCUUCCGAUAUAUAUAUUGUAUAUGUUUCAUAUAUUUGUCAAUAAAUAUAUAUAUAUAUAAAUGUUUCAUGCAUUACGCAAUUAUAUUGCUAUGUGGAAUUGUGAGUCAAAGCAUAUAAAUAAAUUAGAAGCAUGUUACGGUUUUUCAAACCUUAGAGAAUUCAAAAAAAAAAAAAAAAAAAAAAAAGGAACUAUGCGGUACCAUCGCAUCACCACUGGCCUGAAGCCCAGUUAUGUGACGCACAUCAUGACACGGUGUCGUCUUUGACAUCUUUGGACCACACGGCAUAAGCCUUUAGGCUUGCAGUGCUGGCUCGAACACCCUAGCCUUCAGCCUGAUAAGCUCAAUAAGGCCUAAAGUCCCUUAGCCCAACCAAGAAAGCAUGUAGCCUUCUUGGCCCGUUGUCCCAUGAUUUGGCUUGCCUAUAGCAACCCUUAGCCCACUGCGUUAUGCUAUGCGCCCCGGCCCGCUUCCCGCAGACUUGUCUGCUAGGCUAAGCUUGCUCUGACCACGACCCAACUUCGACUGGGCUUCCUAGACCAAACCCGCGGCCAGCUUUUUAGCUGGGCAUGCACUCGUGUCCAAUUCUUUGGCCCAAACGCUAGCAGCUGCUACUGCUGGGCUCACCCAAAACAUUCAGCCCAAGGCCUUCAACAAUCACUGAGGCCCAAUAAGCUUGCAGUCGAACAUGUAUGGCUCUUCUCCCACAUUAUUUUGCUUCCAUGAUCGACCUCGUUUGGUCCCGAUCUAUUAAAUUAAUUAAAAGUGACCUGCAAUCCAUUAAUCUGAUAAUGAAUCCAAAAUUAUUGAUCUAAAGAUCACUUUUGGACAUUAAUGAUUCAAUAAUUUAUUUUAAUAUUUUGAAUCGUUGACAUAUUUCCAUAAUCUCAAAGCUCUCACACUUGAGUUCCUGAAGCAACUCAAAUCCACUAUACUUAAAUUAGCAUAUUGUAUUUUGUGUUUCUUGCAAGAACCUUUCCUUUAUGAACUAAUCGUUUAUAAAAAUAAAUUGAACCUGUAGUUUCAUAUUUAGUGCCUUUGAAACUCGAAGUUUUCAUUUAAAACUUACCACAUGAAACCUGUAGCUUUCAUGCAUUAAUUAAACCAAUACAUGUCUAUAGAACCCAAAUGUUCUACGAUAUAUGUCUAUGGAUUACUAUAUGACUAACCACAUUUUUGUUGUACCCUCUGUUUUAGGGACAUGUCGAACUUGAACAAGCUCAAUUUCACCGUUGUGGAAGUAUCUAGAAGAAAUUACCUGAAGUGGGUUUAAGACGUGAAGCUCCAUCUUACUGCAAAGAGUAUUAAAGCUACCAUCGAGGCACCUACCGACGACAAACCCAUCGACGAAGCUCAUAAACAUCCAUGAUGCAAUGUAGACCGAGUAUCUCGCUACGGAGGACCCACGCACCCUCUGGCUUACUUUGGCCAACUGUUCGAUCACCAAAAAGACAUCUACUUGCCUGAAGAAAGACACGACUGGCAUCAUCUUGCUUCCAAGACUUUAAGUCCGUGAAUGAAUACAACUCUGAAGUUUGUAGUAUCCGAUCACUAUUGAAGUACUGUAAAGUGGAACUAACCGAAUCAUAUCUCUUGGAGAAGACUUAUUCGACCUUCCAUGCCAUUAAUAUUGUCCUGCAACAACAAUAUAGAGCACAGAAGUUCACCAAAUUUUCGGAUUUGAUCUCUAUUUUACUUCUCGCUGAAAAGUAGAACCAGCUUUUGACGAAGAAUCAUCAAGCUCGAUCGACUAGCUCGAACGCCUCACCUGAAGCACAUGCAACCAAUUCUAGCAACUCAUUGUGAGGUUAAGCCCACCCCCUCACUCUUAGUGUAGAUAAUAUCGUUUGUUCGAAGAAAAAAAAUCAUUUGACAACUAAUUGAAUCACAUUAUUAUGCGCGUGCGAAAGACCAUUUUUAUAAUUGGCACUACGCGUCUCUUAAGAUGUUUUGAACGUGUUUAAAAAUAGAGAAAAUAAUAUUUAAUAAAAAAACUGAUUGAAUCACAUUAUUGCUAGCAUAUUGUGAGGUACUAAUUAUAAAAAAAAAUUAAAAAAAAUUGUACAAAAAGAAAUAAUUAUUUAAAAAACAUUUUUUAUAUGACAAACAUAACCCUACAUUAUUUGGUGCAUUAUUUUGGAUUGCUUUUAAACAUUUUUUUUGUUUGGGGGGCAUUUCUAUUUACUUUUUUUUGGUGAAACUUGUGAUCCAAAAAAACACAGUUCAUUGCAGUGUUGGCUUUAUAUAUAGAGAAGAGAUAAACACGUAAUAAAUUCUCAAUGAACAUGCACCUGCCACUAAAUUCAUGAAAACUUUUUUAUUUGGUACCAGAUAUGGAGUCUCCUCUUACUCAUCAUUGUAUUUACCCUCGUUACUAGACCAACUCUAAUUGGCUUGGUAUUAUUUGUGUUUAAGAUGCUAAAUAGAUAUUGUAACAGUUAACAUGGCAAAGUCGCUCUUUCAAAAUAAAAUUAUAUCCUUAUAAUUAAACUAGCUACAAUUAGAUAUUGAACUUACCAUAAUACAGAUCAUUUCGCAUUAGUUUGAAUUGGUUUUGAGAACUCUUUCUCCAAGCAAAUGGAGAUAACCAUCACUUAAAAAAAGGUUAGUUGGUGUCUUGAAAUUUUGAAACAGAUAACAUGUUUAUUUCAUUUCCACAAGCACACAAACGUAUAACUCUCUUUUGAAACGUUCCCCCCUUAGCAAUCUUUUUUUUUUUUUUUUUUUUAAAACUAGUGCCUCCAGAUCUUUUGACCGGACUAAUCACUAAAGCCCCCCCCCCCCCCCGCCGCCUGAUCCCACAACAUUUGAGAAGCAAGAAACUCUAGCAAUUGCUAGGUGGGUACCUUGAGAGGUGUCGAACCCCUUACCUCUUGGUGGCAAACCAAGGGCCUGGCCAUUAGACUAAACACUCUUAGGUCCCCCAAAGCAAUCUUUUUUAACUGAGGUUUUGUCCAACAACUAAUUAGGCUCCUCUUACGGGGCUUGGGCCUCUAAGGUAAAGUUGCCUUAUUGCUUUCAUAUUUACACAUACACACUAUAUAUAUUUUUUCUGAAAAUGUGGACUCAGUUAAAAACAAAGAAACCACAAGUGGUUCAGUGUAAAUGUGGUAGAAUUCUUAAGUAUAGUUUGUUUACUGGUUUUGGGUUUAAGGCACAAAGUUUGCAAAAACAGAAUAAUUUCAUGGUGGAAAGCUUUAGGAGGAUGUGUGCUAUUUGAUUGUGGCUAAGGGUGGACUCACAUUACUUUAGUCAUUUCGCGUCACAGUGGGAAUUAGUCAUACCCUUCUAGAGGUGAGAAUUAAAGAAAGUUGAGGUCCCACCACAAAAAAAAUUAGCCCAGUUACUGAAAAUUAAAGGCGAAUUUUCAAGCAUAAUACAUGGACAACGCAAAUCGAGUGACGUUGAGAACGUGUGGCCAUUGAGACUCACACUUGAACAACCUACUUUGAUAUCAUAACGAAAGUUAAGGUUUCACCGCAUUGGAAAUAUGAAGAGGUGCCAAACUUACUCAUAAACUCAUGUAAAGUCUCUAUUCCUUCAAUGUGAGAUUCAUUCUUAACAAAGAUGCCUUAGGCUUGGGCAAAAAAAAAAAAAAAAAAAAAAAUUAAAAUUAAAACAAAGGGCUUCUUGUUAUAAACUUUGUAUUUAAGUGUGAUUGUGUAAAUCCUAAAUUAAAUUUUAUUCUAGUUAUUCUUCCCUAUUAGAAUUUGUAUUCCUUGGAGGAGAAUGAUUUUUCUCUCACUUAUUACUAUAAAUAAAGGCACUGCGUAGGAGGAAUAACACAUUCUCUACACAGCCCUACAAACACAUAUCUCUUCCUAUUUUCUCUAUGUGCCACCGCCCCCUCUCCUCUGUUAGAUUAAAAUAAGCCACAACACUUCUUUAAUUGUUUUAUUUAUAAGAAGUUUCAUCAAAACACCGUAAGAAACGAAAAAUACAUAUCUUAAUUUCAAGCCACUCCUCUCCAAGUACAAUUAGAAGUACUUGUCUUUUUAGUUUCUUGAGAACCACCUGAUGGAAGAGACAAUUUGUAAUAGCAUCAAACAAAAAAUGAAUGAGCCAAUAUGUAAGAUUCUUUUACCCGUUUUUUCAUUGGUGCAAGCAUGAAUCAUCAACGUUGUGGGUUUGAAGGCUGGUAUCCUCAAUGUUGUGGAUAGCACUACCCUGGAAAUAUGAUCACACACACACAUACACACAACCAUGUUCAUCCUCACCAAUGAGGUAGUACAAAAUACCUCAGUUUUUUUUAAAAGGGGUUUAGAUUUUACCUUUAUCAUUAUCUUUAAUUCUCCUUCUACAUAAUGCUUCUUUUUCAACUUAGGUUUUAAUCUAACUGUACAAGAGCAUGACCUUCUAGUAAUAGUAAUGGAGUUUAGGGCGAUUGUAAUUUACAAAAAUAAAUGAGGAUGAGAAUGCUUGGAGUUGGUUGUAUCAUUUUUAUAGGGGUGUGCUAUCCACACACCCCAUUUUACUUCUCACACACCCCAUUUUACUUCUCACACACCUCUUGAUAAUUUAUGUCCGUUGAUCUUCUUCAAUUCAUCUGAUCCGACGGCCGAAAAUUAAAAAGAUGUGUGAGAAUUAAAAUGGAGUAUGUGAAUAUCACACCCCUUUUUAUAUUAUUGUAGCUUUUGGGUCAUGCAAUGGAUACUGCAUAUUAAAAUACCUAUGUUCGUUUACUUCCAUAUUUUUCUUUGUAAUUUUGUUUAUUUUUCAUAGCUAACUCUUCAAUCUAUUUGUGCAUAAAUUCCUAUUUCAAGCCCAAAAUGGAAGAAAUUAUGCCUCAUGUGAUAUAUUGGACGAACAGUGGUAAGGGAAUGGAACUAGAAAAGCAACAGUACAACAAAAAAAAGUAAGAUCGAAUUUGAAAAUGUGAGUAAAUUACAGUAACAAAUAGUACAAGUUGCUAAUUUCCAAACACUAAACCGAAGAUUCAAUACAAACACAGAGCAGGUGAAGCUUUCUCUUCGAGUGAGAGUCUUUCUCUCCUAUUGAGUCAUUCUCACCCUUUAGUGUGAGGCUUACAUACUAAAGAAAAUCAGGUGGUGCCGAUCCUAGUUUCGGCUGGGGUCGGUCGCUGUUUCCCCCUUUCUUUCUGUCUCUUCUCUGUUUUGUACUUCUACUCCUUAUUCCCCCUGUUUUUUCUCCUAAUCUAUUAUGUUCUUCUUACACAGCUGGUAUCCCUCCUGUUUGUUCAUCCAUAUUCCGAUUUUCAGCCAUGGAUACUCUUGAGAUCGUGUGCAGAGCUCCAGUGUUUGUAGCGGCUCGGGUGUUUCUAACACCACCACCUUUUCCUUGUUAUCUGCCUUUACCAGCAGUGUUGUUCGUGGGUUGCCAUGGACUUCAUCCUGAUAGUUGACUUCUUCAUAUCAAUUGCUGGCUAUCCUUUCUUUGUGGUUGUGCUCGGGAAGCUAAUCGGGGUGGGAUGCUGAAAAUGAUCUGACGAGGAACUGGACGGAUCGUGAACGGCGGUGAAUGCUAUAGAACUUUCUGGAGUCUGUAACCCCUCUUUUUGUGCAUUUUGGGCUUCAACUACUAGUUGGCCCUUUGUCUUUCUUGGCCCGUGUUUUGCUUGUUUAUGUGUUAUGUUUGGGCCUUGGGUUUGUAUUUGUGUUUGUUUUAAGUUGUAAUAAAAGUUUGCUUUUAUUAAAAAAAAAGGGGGGGGGGGAUUUAGAAGCCCAAAUGACUCGAUGCAAGUGCAACAAUGAAUGGCCCAAAUCCAAAUGGGGAAAAACUUAUAAAUUGUUUUUCUUUUACACAUGUUUGCUCUGGCUUUCUUCCUAGCCUUGUGGUUGAAUGCUCCAGCAUGGACACCCAUGGUUAUGGCUCCGAAAGCUGGUACUGGAGAUUUGAGGUGAGGAGAUCAUGAUAUUGUUAUAAAAAAUGGUUCCUGAAACUAAAUUGAAUAAGGUAUUCUAAAAUACCUGUUCUUUUCUGCAUUUUUUAAUAUUGAAAACGAUGCUUUCAUACACUUUAUACCUAAACAUUUACUCUUCGUUCUUUUUUACCUGCUCUAUCUGACAUCUGUUGUUCUUCAACCCCAAACAACCAUCAUUUGCCGCCUCCUUCCUCUACCUAUUUACUCUUCGUUCUUUUUUACCUGCUCUAUCUGACAUUCGUUGUUCUUCAACCCCAAACAACCAUCAUUUGCCGCCUCCUUCCUCUACCUAACUACCUCACAAUCCAUCUCCACCACAACCAUUUCUUGGAUCCAUAAGUUUCGAUCCAAAGGGAAACACCUGUUUCAAUAAUCACUUUCACUACUCCUCGCCCGACGGCUACUUUGCAUACCUUCAUAGUACUGGUUUGGUACUAAGGUGCUUUUAUAAAAAGUGGGUAUCAAAAAUAACUUAUUUUCAUAGUUUUAGGUGAAAAAAAAAAUCUGAAAACAUGGCAAAAAUGAGUUUAUUUUCACAGCACAGCAGAAACAGUUUUUUUUUUAAAAUCACAACAAUACCAAACCAGCCUUUCCUCAAUGUAUGAAAUUGGUUGUGGUUGUAACUCUCCUUUGCAAUUGAAGUUCUCGACCAAUUGGCACUUGUCUUCUCCAUCAUGGCUACCUUGGUGGUUGAUGGUAAGACGUUCGUGGCUGCAGUGCACAACCUUUGAAAGAUAAAGAUAAGGUUUCUAUUAUGUUUAUUUGUUUUGGUUAUUGAGGGAAUAACCAAAUACAAACAAGUUAGAUUAUGUUAAUUUGUAAUUUACACCAAUUAAAAACUCCUACUUACAUGGAAUUGCAAUUGAGGGAAUUGUUUUAUUUAUUUAUUUUGAACAUACGAUAUUAUCUACACUAAGAGGAGGGGGUGGGCUAAGCCUCAUAAUGAGUUAACAGUAAUGUUGUUCAAACUCAUCUUUGACAAGAAUCGAACCUAAGACCUCUCACUUAAAUGAUAUAUAAUGAAUAACCAUAAUUUGCCUGGGCGCUACGUCUCAGACCACUACACAACUAGCGCUUAGCGUUUUUUAGAAUCUUAAUCAAACCACUUUCAAUAAAAUUGUAGAAAAAAAAUGUUGAACCAACGAAAUUGAAAAUAAAACACCUAUAUCGAAACAUUCUUCUUUUUAUUUAUAAGACGCUUUAUCAAAACACCCUUAAUUUGAAGCCAGUCCUCUCUAAAUACAGUUAGCAGUUAGCAAGUACUUGUCUUUUUAGUUUCUUGAGAACCACCUAAUCGAAGAGAAUAUUUUAUAGCCUAGAUGACUUCAACCAAGAAAUAAAUGAGCCAUAAUCCACCUCUUUUCACUCAAAUAUAUAUUUAUUUUACCCCUGUUUCACAUUGGCCUUCUUCCUACCAUUGUGGUGAAGUGUGGAAGCAUGAAUUCUCAUUGUUGUGGGUUCGAAGGCUGGUAUCCUCAAUGGAAAUAUGAUCAUACACAAACACAAAUCCUUGCUCUUCCUAUCCAAUGAGGUAUUACAAAAUACCUCUGUUUUUUAGGGGCUUUGGAUUUUACCUUUUUACCUUUAAUUUCUCCUUGUACAUAAUGCUUCUUUUUCAACUUGAGUUUUAGUCCUAUCUCAAAAAAAAAAAUUAAAAAAAAGAAUAAAAUAAAGACCUGAGUUUUAAUUUAACUGUACAAGAGCAUGAGCUCUAGUAAUAGUAAAGGAUUUUAGGGCGAUUGUAAUUUACCGAAAUAGAUGAGGAGGCGAAUGCGUGUCAACUGGUUGGCCUCGAUGAGCUCUAUAUAUCUGUGUCAAUUUAUAUAUUACGGCAAGUUUCAGAUCAUGUAAUGUAUAUUUCAUACUAAAAUAUCUCGGUUUGUUAUGUAUAUAGUAUACUCAUUUUUUCACUUUCUUUUACUUCCAUAGUUUUCUUUGUAGUUUCAUUCAUCUUUUACAAAAUAACUCUUCUAUCUAUUUGUGCAUAUAUUCCCAUUUGAAGCCCAAAUUGGAAGAAUUUAUGCCUCAAUCGACAUAUUAGACUAACAAACAAAUAGUGCAAGUUGCCAAUUUCCAAACACAAAAUCGGAGAUUUUGAAGCCCAGAUGACUGAAACACAAGAUGCAAGUGUAACGAUGGCCAAUGGGUGGCCCAAAUCCAAAUGGUGGAAAGUGUAUAAAUCGUUUUCUUUUAAACCCUAUUUUCACAGGUUAAAUGCUCCAACAUGAACACCCACGGUUAUGGGUUCGAAAGGUGGUACUGGAGGCUCGAUGUUGAGGAGACGAGGAUAAUACUAUUUAUACGCCCAUUCUCUCAGUAUGAAAUUGUUAUCACAAAGGGUCUCUGAAAUUAUCUGAAAUUAAACAAAAUGAGGUAUUCUGAAAUAAUGCUUUCAAACUUUAAUUCUUCCUCCUAUUUAAUCAUUUCUUUCAACUGUUUGAAUUUUAAUUAUAUAUGUUUAUAUUUAAGAGGUGGUUUUGGCCUGACUACUUCAUAAGGCAUUUGGAUGACCAUUUGCAGAAAAUUACUGGAUCCACUUAUUCCUUUUUUAUUAUUCUGGUUUUGCCUUGCAUUUACGUAUCCAGUGAAGAAUUUCAUAUUUGUUUGCCUUUGAAUAAUAUAUAAAACAAAGUAAAUAGGAGGCAAAUGAGUACAUAUUCUGGUUGGUCUAGUUGUUGGUAUAUGUUUUUCUCAUCUCCUUGCUUCUAAACUGGUGGAUGUUUUUUAAAUCCAGUACUCUCAUUUGAGGGUACCCACAAAUUCAAUGACCCAAUAGUUUUUUCUUGCAUUUUUUUCAGGUAAAAGAACAUUGCAAUGAGGAUCCGCAGAGGAUUCUAUUACCAAACAUGUUAAAAUUUAACCUAGGAACUAUUACAUUGGAAAAAUUAUUCAACAAUGUACAAGAUUGACAUAACUAUGUACAAAUUUAGCCUCUUGAAAAAUUAUUCAACGAUGUACAAGAUUGACACAACGAUGUACAAAUUUAACCUCUUGAAAACAUAAUUUAUUAUAUAGUUAGGAAUUUGAUGCACUAGAUCUCAGUCAGAAUUAGCGGUGGUGGCGGGCGGUACGGCGUCGGAGGAAGGGCGUGAGAAGAAAUAAGAUGGAGGAAAAAAAGAAGAAAUAAGAGGGAGCUAAGGAGGCUGCUAGGGAGAAAGAAGAGGGAGUUCAAACUUGACAGUGAUGUGGGAGUUCAUCUCGAGCAAACUUAUUCCUAGUCUCAUGGUUAAUUGCACCAGCUUUAACAACCAUGGUGCUGGGUUCGAAGCUGGUAUUGAAGAUGACGACGACGACGACGACGAUGAUGUUAGUUUAAACUCACAAUCAAUGAAGUUGUAAGUAUCAGCACCGUUUAAGAGUGGUGGUGAGCAAAAUUAUUUCAUGUUGUAAUUGAAAUUCACUUAAGAAAAUACUUGAAAUUAAAUGAAGAAUACUUUGGUAAAUAAAACUGAUGAAUGUUUUUGUAUUUCCUAUACUCUCAUUUUAAUGUACCCCCAAAUUCAAUGACCCAAUAGGUCUCCCAACAAUUACAUUUUCAUUGUUGUUUCUCAAGUUUUUUCUUGCAUAUUUGUGCUUCUAGUUUCAAUCAAUGUAUUCAUUCUAUUUCAGUUAAUCAAAUAAGUUAAAAUUUUCUAUCUAUUUUUGUACUCAUCUUUUUAUUUGAGGAAGUAGACUAGUAAUGCAAAAUUAACCUUUGAAUAUGACCUAAAAAACCCUCACAUAGAAAUAAACGUUGGCCCAAAUCCAAAUAGUUGCACCCUUAUAAAACUUUAGUUUGCAUGCUUUAGUACCGGCCUUCUUCUUGGUGGAUAAGUGUGGAUGCGAAAGCAUUGUUCCACGAGGUUUCAGGUUCGAAGGCUGGUAUCCGUUAGGAUGGCGACUUUGAUGAAUCAUGCAUGUAUGUGUAUGUGUAUGUGUUGUGUGUGUAUAUAUAUAUGUAUGUAUGUUUCAACGAUAUGAGGUAUUUCAAAAUACCUCUGUUUUUUAUAUUUUUAUACAUAUUUAUUUUUCCCGUCUGUUUUAUGGACAUAAUUCCAUAUCUAUAAAACCUAGCUUCUUAAGUCCAAAACUUGACCUCUAGUUAUACGGCUUUGACUUAUCACUUAUGUAAACUUUUUUAUUCUCCUUAAAUUUUUUGUUCAUUGCCACCGUACCACGCAGCUUCUUAAUCCAAUCAUACAUUGUCAUCUUGAGAAAAAUUUGUACAAAAUAAUACAUUAUUGAACAAGAAAUGCGAUAUGAUAGUAAACUCGUUAAGGGUUGGAUAAUAUCUUUUAGAGAGAACCCAAAUCCAAAUAGUCGAAGGCCAUUCAUAGAAAAUGUUUUUGCAACCGGCCUUCCUCCUAACCUUAAUGCAAAGUGCACAAGCAUGAUCCCUGUAGGGUCUUCAUGGCCCCUCAGAGGAAACAUAUUAAUCAACAAUAUGAGGUAUUGCGAAAUACCUUUGUUUUUUUAUGUGCCUACUAUUUUCUCUCCUCUAUAUAUUUAAUUAACUCUAUAAAUGUUUAUAUAUUUGUUCAUUAUUAGAGAUUUUUUAAUUUUUUAUCAAAGAUUUUUAGAUUUAAAUGUCUAUAAAAAUAAUCUAUAUAAAUUUUAUUUAAAAAAAAAAUAUUUAGCCUAAUGUUUUUCUCUUACCUAGAAUUUUAACCCAGGAUCAUUGGUGAAGAAAAACUAUUUUCUGAGUUAAAACCUAAAUUUUAUGUGAUAACCCAAAGAGUGGAGAUAAUAUUAUUACCCAAAGUUUUAGUACUACUAGAGAUAGAGAAGAUAUAUUGAAGACAAAGAUAUAUACAUGGUAGAAGAAGGAAGCUUGGAGGGAUGUUGAGGAAAUGUAAUGGAAUUAUAUACAAAUUAAAAACUGCAAACCAAAGUCUGGAAACAAUUCUAAAUUGUUUUCACUUUUAACUUUUUAUUUCAUAUAUUCUCUUUUAGUUCUUCCUUCCUUCCCAUCACCAUUCUUGCUUCACUCUUCUUCGCGAAUCGAUAGAUAGAUCCAAGUAGAAGACACAAGGACCUAUGUAUGUUUUAUUGAGAAAUAAAAUUAGAGUGAAAAAUAUUGAGUACAAAAAACAUUAUCUCAUUUCAAAUAAUUUAAAAAGCAGAACAAAAGCGUAUGAGUUUUUUGUUUUUUUUUUUGUUUUUAUCACAUAUAGAUAUGCAUAGGGAAACUUAAUCACCAAAUGUAGCUACAAAUGUCAAAUUAAAAAUGAUAUACAAAUAGAACAAAAAUUGGCUGGGCCCAAACUCCACUUGUGAGGACUUAAGUUCAUUUUUGGGCAUGCAUUUACACCGGCCUUCUUCUUAGCCUAGUGGUUAAUUGUGCUAGCAUGAUUCCUCAAGGUUCUGGCUUCGAAGGCUGGUAUUUGUGAUGGUGAUGAUGAUGAAUCGAUGAAUGGAUGAGAGGUUGGUAUUUAAGAUAAUUUCUGGCAGCACGAUAUAUGAUGAACGGAGAGGAUCCUCAUUUCCUUAACCAAAUGAGGUAUUCUAAAAUACCUUUGUUUUUCUAUAUUUUCCACAUGGAAAUCUAUAUUUUCCACAUGGAAAAUGAUACGAAGACAUUGUGAAUUCCAUUUACAAAAGCAAAUUUUUAUUUGGACCCAGUUUUUUUCUUUUUCAACCCAACUUUAAUAUUUUGUUACCUAGAAUCUCUAGUAUACCCUCAUAAAUAAUAAACAUAAAUAAAUUGGAAAACAAAAACUCAUCAAACCUAUUUCCCGACUAUUCUCUCUCCUUCUGGCAAGCUCCUCCCUGUAUUUGUUGGGUCUUUCUCCCCAUAAAUAAAUUGGAAAAACAAAAACUCAUCAAACCUAUUUCCCGACUAUUCUCUCUCCUUCUGGCAAGCUCCUCCCUGUAUUUGUUGGGUCUUUCUCCCUCCCGACUAUUUAUUGUUUCCUGAUAUGCAAGAGAAGAGAGAAGGUCUGGAGUGGUGGUUGAGUGGUGGAGCUGCAUGCUAUCUUGGUUGAAUGGGUGUAGAAAGAUAUUUAAUUUUCAUUUCCUUAUUUCAUUUUGUAUAAGGGGUAAAAUAGGAAUUACAGAGAUUUAUUUUUGUAGCUAGGUGUAGAAAGAGCUUUGUUGGAUCUCAAUAUAAUUUACCUUUACAAAAGUAUCUCAUAUUUCUGGUUUCUUUUUAUUUUAAAAUUUGUCAUUAUUAAGGGGAGGGUAAACUUCGAAUACGGAAUGCAUGAGUAGAAACAAAUAUAUGUCAUGUUACAAAUGGUCAAAUUAAAAAAAUGACUAAACAAUACUGUAAUUGGUUGGGCCCAAAUACAAAGUUUAAAUUUGUGCAUGAAGUUUCCACUGGUCUUAUUCCUGGCCUUGUGUACAAGUGCUGAAGCUUGCUUCCAUUAGGUCUCAGGUUCGACGGCUGGUAUCCGUUGAGAUGGCGAGUUUGAUGAUGGUCAAGCAUGUGUAUAUGUAUGUGUGUGGUGGCAGAGAGUUGAGUUCGCUUUUGAGAUAAUUUCCUUAGCAUUUCUCAUAUAUCUCUAUACAUAAAAACAAAAUGAGGUAUUUCAAAAUACCUCUGUUUUUUUAUGAGUAAUGUUAGAGAGAUUUUUUUUUUGUUAAAAGAUAAAUUUUGUUAGAUUAUAUAGUACGGAGAUUAAACUUAUAGAUAAAAUUUUGUAAAUUAAAUAACGUGAAAGUUGAUGAUUGGAUUGUUACUCAAAUGUUAAUUAACGUGCUUAUUUCUUAUUGCUGAUAUAUUAUUUAGUUUAGAAAUUUAAUCUAGCAUACUCUUUUUUUUUAUAUAUAUAUAGUUUUCUCCCCUCUGUUUUAUUUUAUUUCGUUCCAUUUAUUAGGUUAACACCAAUUAUACUAUUUUGCAUUCUAUACUUUAUUUCUUAUGCAAUUGUAUAAUUUAUUUCGUCAAAAUAUAGUUCAAUUUAAUAUUCAUUUUUUAAUAAACUUUAAAAAUAUGCCUUACAAUACAACAAAUUUAAAUGUAUUAAUAAAAUGUGUAAAAAUAACGUAUAUUAUAUGUACAAAGUAUGUAUAUACAUGUAAUUUAACAAAUUAUUAAGAUGUAUACAAAAAAACAUAAUUAGGUGCCUUUUUUUUUUAUGAAAAACUUUCUUGUGUUAAAUGUUUGAGUAAUGUUAGGGAGACAAAAUUUGUAAACUAAAUGACAUAGAAGUUAAUGAUUGAAUUAUUACUUAAGCAUUAAUGAACGUGCUCAUUUCUUAUUGGUGAGACAUCAUUUAGUUUGUAAGUUUUGUCUACAAAUUUAGCCUUCCUAGCAUUACUCUAAAUGUUUAUUUACCCUAAUACGCAACUACGAUUAUGGACAAAAUACAUUCAACAUAAAAUAAUGUAUCUUCUUCUUCUUCAUCUUCCUUAGCAAAUAUUGGGGUUUGGUUAACAGCCUCAAUACACCUUAUGUUCAUAUAUAUAUAUAUAUAUCUCUCUCUCUCUCUCUCUCUCUCUCUCUCUCUCUCUCUCUCUCUUCUCAUAGCGUAAUUUGGUAUUUUAGGGUUUGGUUUGCAUGAAUUUGUAAUUUGAAAUUGUAAUUAAUUAGGGUUUGAUUUUAUGCUUCAUUCUUCAUCUUCUGGAUUUAGGAAAUUCCAUCCAAUUUCCAGUUUGUUGCAUUCAAUUUAUUAGUGUCAAUGGGUAACUCCCCGAGGGCACAAAGGCAGAGAAGAAAAGAAAUACAAGUACAUGGAUUGGAGUGUUGUCUUACAUAAUACCCAAUAGUAGGGGAGAGACUUGUUCCAUGUUAAUCAAACAUUCAAUACUUCUAAUACAAUUUCUAUGGGACUGUGGUGAUGAAAUUUGGUUGUGGUGUACUCCCAGUGCACGGUUGAUGUCUUUGUGUUGCGAUGUCUUCUUUGAGUUAAACACUCGGUUGUUUCUUCCAUCGCAGCUACCUUGAUCGUUGAUGGCAAGACUUUCGUGACGGCGGGGGCAAUGCUCAGCCUUGGAAGAUAGAAAUUAGAGUUUCUAUUAUGUUUGUUUUGGUUAUUGGGUUGGGUUUAUUGUGUACUUUGGAUUUUUCCAAUUUUUUGAGUUGUUUGUCAUCCUUUGUGUUGGCCCGGUGAUAUGUGUUGGUUUGUCCAAUUACAACCCUUGUUUUUUCUUAAUGCAAUGAAAUUUACUUAUUGGAUAAAAAAAAGAGUAUGAGCUCUCUAGUAAUAGUAAUGGAUAGGAUGAUUGUAAUUACCAAAAUAGAUGAGGAGAAGGCGUGGCAGUUGGUUGUGCUCGACGAAUUCCUUAUUUUCGUGUCAAUUUUUAGAAUAGGGUUUGGGUUUUGAGUUCAUAUAACGUGUCAUGUGCAAAAUUCUAACUUCUUCCUGCGUACCAGAAUACCUCAGUUUGUUGCAUGACUAGAAUUCAUUUCACAAAUUUCCUCUAAUUAAAGUGAUGGAAAAGAUCAAAUUUCUCUAAUGGUCCUUCAAUCCAUGGGCUCUAGUCUCAUUCAUCCUUCAUAUUAGUCCAAUCGUUACUUAAGUUAAUUUCUCUAUCUAUUUGAGCAUAUAUUCUCAUUUGGAGCCUAAAUUCGAAGAAUUUAUGCCUCAUUUGACAUAUUGAACUAAUGAUGUAAAUGAAAUAAAAAAGAAAACGUUUGUAUUUUAUCUUCUUUAUCUUUUUUAUGAACUUGGUCAAUUUAUGGAUAAAAUAUGCUAAAAGUAAAUCCAUUGUUAUGUUUUCAACCAAACUGAAGAUUGUUGAAUCAUUGUAAAGAUUAUUCACUUUUACUUUUUGGUUGUAAAAUUUAGCUAACUUUAUUAUAUUAAUCAUUCCUCAUGAUCAGUAGGUGUGUAUAUAAAUUCAUAUUUAUAUUUCACAAUUUUCCAAUGUCUGUUUUAAGGAGCGUACAAUAUGAGUGUUUAAAAAUAUAAUUACAAAAACGUAUCUCACUCCAUGUAAGUUAAUACACAAACCAAAAGCUUAUAAGUUCUAUUAACAUAGGAGUUAUCUCAUUACACAUUGAUGACACAUUAAUCCUCAUCUUCAUGUAGCCUCGGUACACCAUGAGACAUCAACAUAUUUUUUGCCUUUGGGUCAACAAUAUACCAAACAAAGUUAGUGGCUCCAAAAAUACAUUUGUGAGAGUUCAAACUCGAGCAAGCCUCGUGGUUAAAUGUACCAGCAUCAACAACCAUGGUACUUGGUUCAAUGCAAAAUUAACCUUUAAACACGACCUAUGAAAACCCUCGCUCAAUAUUUUCGUACUACAAGAGGACAUUGGCCCAAAUCCAAAUGGUUGCAGUUAUGUAAACUUAGUUUGUGGGGAUUUGUACCGGCCUUCUUCCUAGCCUGGUGGAUAAUUGUGGAUUGUGGGAGCAUUAUUCCAUAGGGGUGGGUUCGGUUUAAUUCGGUUCGGUUUUUUGCCAAAACCGAAACCAAACCGAAAUUUCGGUUCGGUUCGGUUCGGUUCAUUUUUUUUUCGGUUUUUUUCGGUUCGGUUUUUUUUCGGUUCGGUUUUUUUCGGUUCGGUUUCGGUUUUUUGUUUUUUUUUUCUUUCAAAAAAUGAAAAACAUUGAAAUUUUAAAUUUUAACGUAUCCAACACAAUUAUAACACAAGCAUUCUAACUAUAAUCAAAGACAAUGAAAAUAAACAUUUAAAGUUGAACUAAAAUCAUCAAUCAAGUCUUCCAAAGUCCAAACUAACAACAUCACAACACAAAAAUCGUACAAAUGACUUAGAAAAGUUAAAUUGUAUGAUGUUGUUCAAAGAUCAGGGUUGUUUGCUUGUAACUGCAUGUUGACAACUUGAUUAGUAAAAGAAAUGCGUGGGUGGAUUUAUUUAGUGUGUGUUGGAUUCUUUUCCAUCACAAAUUCCCUAAGUAAUCUACCCGAAAUAAAUGUUUAUAGAUUCUGUUACAUGUUAUAUGAGAGUAGAUUUGGAAAAGAAAGCUGAGACAAAAGUAGACAGUGCUAUGGAGAUGGAUGUAGGUACUUCAGGAUGAGGUUUGGCUCCGGAACCUUAUAUGGGGGAUAAAUAAUAGGUUAGGGUUUAAAGUUUUUAUAGGACUUUUUUUUAAUAUUUUGAGCUUAAAGUUUGGCAACACAUUGGGUUUAGCAUAUUUUAACUUACAAAUUGGGUUUAGAAAAUAAUAUCCAAAACAAAUAAUUAAAUAAAAAAAUUAAUUUAAUUAAUUCGGUUCGGUUCGGUUUGGUUCGGUUUCUAGAUAACUAAAACCGAACCGAACCAAAAGAAUUCGGUUCGGUUCGGUUUUUUCAAUUCGGUCGGUUUUUUUGUUCGGUUCGGUUUUUUCGGUUUCGGUUCGGUUUGGUUUUCGGUUUUUUUCGGUUUUCGGUUUUUUGAACCCACCCCUAUUAUUCCAUUAGGUUCCAGGUUCGAAGGCUGGUAUCCGUUGAGAUGGUGACUUUGAUGAAUCAUGAUUGCAUGUGUUGUACGUUUGUGCGUGCGUACGUAUUUAUAUGUAUAUAUUUCAACAACAUGAGGUACUUCAAAAUACCUCUGUUUUUUUUAUAAUAUUUUUUUCCCUUCUGUUUUAUUUUAUUUUAUUUACUAGGUUAACACCAAUCUAACCAAAUCACAUUUUAAUAAAACAAUAUAGAAAAGCUUGGGUAUAUGCAUCCUAUUGUUAUUUGCAUUUUAUUUACUAGGCUAUCAUUAUCUUCAUUACCUCGGUUUGGGAACGGAAGUACAAGAGAAUUAGGGCUGGUUUUGUAUUGAUGUACUUUGAAAAAAAAACUGCUUCUGCUGUGCUUUGAGAAUAAACAGCUGUGAAUAAAGUAGCAGAGUGUUUGGUAAACUUUUUUGUAAAAGUGCUUUUGGAAAAAAAAAAAAAAACAGUAUGAUAGUGGAUGUGGUAGUCUAGUGGGUUUCUGUGUUUCCAUUUCUAUUGUAGAUCGGCAAAGCCGUUUCUGGUGGGUUUCUGGGUUUUGUGGAGAUAGACAAAGGAGCACUGUUUUCUGGUUUGAGGGUGUUAUUGGACUUUUGAAAGUUUCAUUAAAGGAGCACUGUAGCUCCGCGUGUUUUGAAAAAAAAGUCAGUUUUUCAGCAGCAUUUUAGCUGCUUUAGUUUUUUUUAUGAUUUCAGCUUAUUCUCACAGCAGCUUCUAAAAUAAACCCUUUUAUUUGAGUUUACCAAACACCUUCAACAUAAAAACUUUGAAAAUAAGCAGCUUUUUUUUAAGCACCUCAAUGCCAAACCAUACCUUAGUGUUGAAUUUUUAUUAAUUAGCAAUUCUUUCAUCUAAACACAGUGUUAAUUAUUUCUUUUCAAUUAUUUGAGCUUUAGUCUAACUAUAAGAAAAGCAUGAGGUUUAGUCAUACUAAUAGGUGAUGAUGGUUGGUAAUGGGUUGUGUUCCAUAAACCCAUUCAUUUACGUGUCGAGACUUGUACUAGUGCAAAUUUCGGAUCAUGUCAUAAAUUAUCACCCUGAUCACCAUACACUAAAACCAAUUUGAAUGAUUUGGUCAAUUUUCUGUCUACUCCCAAUUAAUACAUUUUAUGCGAUGCAACUUCUUGAAAAGUAUUGUAGAUAUAACUAAAAGCUAACUCAUUUUAGGCCUUUUACUAAAUCGUAAAACCUCAUUGCCUCCAAAAGAUGCACAAUCGUUUUACAAAGUCUGCCAAGCCUUAAAAAUUAGGUUCAACAGGUUUGCGUUACAAUACUACCCAUAAAUUGCUCAAGCUAGCAAUUAUUCAUACUAAAAACGAAGGAAAAAAGAAGAAGAAAUGUGAUUGAUCAUGAGCAGGAGUAAUCCAACUUCUAAUCUAUCCAUUGUUUGUUUAGGGUAUUGAGAGACAAUAAGGACACGAUUCCAUCUCUUUAAAGCCUAAUUUCUUUCGUCUGAGAACUUCAACCUCUAGUACUAUAGCUUGGACCUAUCGCUUAUGUAAACUUGCCUUGUCGCUUUUUAUUUUCCUUAUAUUUUUUGUUCAUCACCAUGUGGCUUUUUGACCCAAUCAUACAUUGUCAUGUAGAAACAAAUUUGUACACGGCAAUGCAUUAUUGGACAAGAACCGCGACGCGGCAGCGAACCCAUUUCAAAUACGUUAUUCUCCCUAAUGGUUGGACAAUAUUUUUCAGAGAAAACAUUGGUUGGGGUCAAAUCCAAAUAGUAGCAAGCUUCAAAUAAAUUGUUUUUGCAAAUCAACCACCGGCCUUCCUCCUAACCUAAUGGAAAGUGCAAAAUCAUGAUCCUCGUAGGGUCUGGGUUCAAGGGUUGGUAUCCUGUGAAUUCGAUGCUCUUCAUCAUGCCUGUUCAAAAAAAAAAAAAAAAAAAAAAAAAGCAUAACACCAACCAUACCAAAUUCCAUUGAGAUAAAGGAAUACAAAGCUUAGUUAUAUGCAGUCUAUAUGAAUUAGAAGAUACAUCAUUGUAUAGGCAUGAGUAAAGGACUUCUGUGUUGAGGAAAUCCAUUUAUCUUUGUUUCCGGACCUAUGUCCGUACAAAUUUUGAGUUGUGUGAAAAUUGUUGCCCUGCUCCCCAUAUACUAAAGCCAAUUUUAAUGAUUCGGUCAAUUUUGGCCCACUACUAAAUAAACCAUUUUAUACUUAAUAUUUUUAUUCAAUGGUAUAACUUAUUAUUGUAUUUAGCGUCAACAACUUCACAUUCUUAUUUAAUAACCAUUUCGUUUUUAAUUUUACUUCUACUAAAGAUAGAUAAGAAAUAUAUUGAAGACAAAUAUAUAUAUAUAUAUAUAUAUAUAUAUAUAUAUAUAUAUAUAUAUAUAAAUGGUAGAAGAAGGAAGCUUGGAGGGAUGUUGAGCAAAUGUAAUGGAAUGAUAUAAAAAUUCAAAAAUACAAACAAAAAUCUAGAAACAAUUCUAAAUUGUUUUCACUUUCAACUUUUUAUUUCAUAUAUUUUCUUUCAGUUUUCCAAAAAAACAUAUAAAUGGUAGAAGAAGGAAGCAGAGGCCUUCACUUUCAACUUUUUAUUUUAUGUAUUUUCUCGCUUCACCCUCCUUCUUGAAACGAUGGGUAGAUUCAAAUAGAGGCCACAAGGACUGAUGUAUGUUUUAGUGAGACAUAAGAAAUGAGAGUAAAAAACAUAAGAACAAAAAUAGUAUCUCAUUCCAAAUAAUUUAAAAAGUAAAAUAAACGCACAAGAGUUUUUUUUUUUUUUUUUCAUCUCAUAUACAUACACAGGGAAACUUAUUCACCAAAUAUGGCUACAAAUGUCAAAUAAAAAAGGGAACUUUAACGAAAAGCACCUGAUACUGUUUACUUUAACGAAAAACCACAUUUUUACACUAAAAAGUCAAUCCUAGUACUAUUCACUUUACCCUUUAUUUUGUCAUUAUCAUUAAAACUCAAAAUUUUCAAACAUUUUUCAUUAGUUUUCCAAAUAAAAAAUGGUAUAUAAAUAGAGAUAAAAUUGGCUGGGCCCAAAUUCCAAUGAUAAGGACUAAGUUCUUUUUUUUUUUUUUUUUUUUUGUUCUUCGCAUGUGUUUGCACCGGCUUUCUUCUUAGCCUAGUGGUUAAUUGCACUGGCAAUGAUUCCUCAAGGUUAUGUAUUCGAAGGCUGGUACCGGCGAUGUGGAUGAUGAUGAAGUGAUGACUGGAUUAUUAUUAUCAAGAGAAAUGCUAUGGGACUCUUUGGGACAGAAAGGAACUUAAAUCAAAUGAGGUAUUCUAAAAUACCUCUGUUUUUUUUUUUCUUAACAUUUUCAAAUUCGGAACGCAUGAGCAAAAACUUAACACCUUAUCUCUUAUUCAUUGUUUCAUCAAGCUCAAUGUCUAAUCCCAACUCCUAACAAGCCAAUUGACUUGAUCCUUCAUUCAAAUAAUCCUAUAGCCUCAUUCACAUAUAUCCACAAAUUUGAGAAAUUUUUGUGUACACCCAUUACAGGUAUAUCACGUGUGAUAAUAUAAAGUGGGCAAUAAAGUUGAUAUUGUUGUGAAGAGAGAGGGUGUGGCAUAGAGAAGAGAAGGGGUUGAGGAAUUCUGUGUUGUGAAUCCUCAUGCCUAGUGUCUUUAUUUAUAGUAAUAAUAAAAAGAGAAGAACUUACACUCCAAGUAAUACAAGAUCAAAUAGGAAAGAUCUUUUAUAUUAAUUAAAAGAUAUAUCAUUGUAUAGGUACGGGUAAAGGAAGUUGAAUGCUAUCAUUUUUCAUAUCCUUCUUUGUCGAUUGUUUGAGUUUUAUUCCAACUAUACAGCAACACGAGCUCCAGUAAUAGUAAUGAACUUUUGUGCUUAGGAAAAAACCAAGGGGGUGUAUUCAAUUGGAAUUUUGAGGGAUUUUAAUUCUUUUAGUGAAUCUACGGGUAUUCAAUCAAGAUUUUAAGUGAUUCUCUGAAAUUCAAAGUGUAUUCAAUCAAGAUUUUAAGUUAGUUUAUUAAAAUUGUUAUAAAUCUGGGUGUAUAUUCAAUUAGGAUUUUAAAUAAGUUUAUAAUAUUCUAGGUGUAUUUAAUUAUAAAUUGAUUUUAAAGAAUUUGAAAAAGUUGAGGAAUUUGAGGGAAUUUGAGAGAUUUCAUAGUGUAUUUUAAGCAUCCACAAAUCUCACCUCUUCCCAUAAGAUUUCGAGAAAAUUGAAUCAAAAUUUUAUGUGGAAUCUCAACAAAUCAAUUAAACUCCAUAAAAAUCCUAGAUUUAUGAAUUCAUUAAAGUCUCUCAAAUUUUCAAUUGAAUACACCCCCUAAAACUAACAAAAACAAAAAUAAAUCCAUCACCCUCCCAAAUCAUCCACGAUGGGCAAGUCCCUGAUCAUCCAUCACCCUCCCCAGCCACAAAUAUCACCCCAUCUCUCUUUGAAUUCUGGUACUACCACCUCAACCCUCUCUUCCUAUUCCUCAUAGAUGAACAACAAAGACAACCUAGAUUUCCAAAUUGAAAAAUACCCAAUUCCAAUUGGAAUAGAAAUCCAUUUGGAGCAAUCUGCUUCUAUAUUAGAUCAAUCUCCCCUAUGUUUCUCUCUCUUUCCCCAUGUUUCUCUCUUUCUCCCCCUUUCGUUUCUCACUCUUUAAGGAGAUGUCGCCAAGAAGGUGUCAAAGGUUUUGGUUUUUUUAUGGGUGGUGGGAGGAGAUUCUGUCAUUCUGGUGCUGGAUAGGGUAGGCAAUUAAGGAAGCAUGCUGGUUUUCUUUAAAAACAUAUUAAUAUUAUUCUUUGAAAACAAAAAUAUAUUAGAGGUUAUUUUAGGAAUAAUGGUGGGUGGAGAAAUAAUAUUUUAAUUCUUUAUUUUUUGUGCUGGGUGAUAUUAUAAUGUAGGUGUAGAAAUAGGACAAUGGGAUUGGCCUAUCUACACCCUAUUUUUAUUCAAUGGUAUAACUUAUUAUUGUAUUUAGCAUCAAAACAUCUUCAAAUUGUCAUUUAAUAGGCAUUUUGUUUUUAGUUUUAGUAUUACUAGAGAUAGAAAAAAAAAAUUGAAGACAGAUAUAUAAAUGGUGAAGAAGAAAGCUUGGAGAGAUGUUGAGGAAAUGUAAUGGAAUGAUAUACAAAUUCAAACUUGCAAAUUAAAAUCUAGAAACAGUUUUAAAUUGUUUUCACUUUUAACUUUUUGUUUCGUAUAUUCUCCUUUAGUUUUCCUUCUUUUCUCCCACCACUCUCGCUUCAUUCUUCUUCUUGAAUCGAUGGACAGAUCCAAGUAGAGGCUACAAAGACCGACUUAUAUUGUAGUGAGACAUAAAAUAGUAUCUCAUUCUAAAUAAUUUUAAAACGCAGAACAAUAGCGUAUGAGCUUUUAGUUUUUAGAAUUCAUAUACGUAUGCAUAGGGAAACUUAUUGAUGCGAAAUACAUAAGCACACAAAUUAAACCCUUUUUUUAUCAAUUGUAGCAAAGUAUGUAAGUAGGGAUCGUUCUAGACCGGGGAUUAGGAGGGAUUGCUAAAUCACUUGAAAACUGACUCAAAUACGUAAAAACAAGUUUAAAACACUAAACCAGACUUAAAGAAUGCAAAACUAAACUUUAAAACACCAAAACAAACCAAAAGACUCAAAACAGCAAACAAACACUCAAAACUGCCUUAAAAACACUUUCUGGGCAGUUUUGACACCUAACACUAAAUUGGACGAAAUUGAGUUAUAACUUAACUCAAGACUCUUAAAAACACAAACUAAAUUAAUUUCUACUUAAUCUAACACUUUAAAAUAAAUGGGGAAUUGGUUUUGACGAAAAUUGAAAACAAAAACAAAACUUGUAAAUUAAACAGAUUCUAAAACGAAUUUGAGAAAAGUGAAUGGAUGGAAAGCUAGCUAAGGGGUUCUUCUCCACACAUGUCACACUUGCAUACAAAACGAUUUCCAAUUGAUUUUCGAUAAACCAUGAAUUCCCAACACCCCAGAUUAACCGUGAAUUGCACUAAUUAACCCUCAGAUUUUCCUUAAGUUAUUGAAUUGGAUGAAUUGCAUACGACAACCCAAAGCAUUCCCCACAAAUUCCCUACAUGAAUUGCAUAAUAGAGAUACAAGCAAGAAUCAUUAAGUUCUAUGAAAAUCAUAAGCAUUGGCGAAGCACUCGUUACUAUGAAUUGCAUGAAACUUAUGCCAAGAAUUUACUUAACACGAUUGUGAUCAACAACCUUUACUACUUGUGAAUAUAAGUUCAUAAUGAUUAGGUGAAACUCCCUUAUAUCCUAGCAUCAAACUUAUGCAUGAAAAUUAAGCGUGCACUCUCAACCAACAUACACAAAUCAGUUUUAAUUCAUGUAGAUAAGUAAAUUGAAUUCACAACUUAUGAAACACAAUUAGAAGUAAUCAAAUCAUAUAGCAAGUAUAAACAUGGUUUCGAAUUCCCCCUAGCCAAGGGGGGUUUAGUUCCUCAUACUCAUAAAGCAAAGAUACAUAAAUUUAGACAUUAAAAUCCAAAGAAAGAAAACACCUAGAUGAUCCAACUUGGACAGCAGGUGCAUCCACAAGUCUUGUUUCCUCCUUGCUACGGCACUUGGCCUAAAGUCAGGUUCUAGGGUGGUAUUUGUAUGGGAGAAUGGGUAGGGAAUGGUAUGGAAGGGUUUAGGAUUGAUGGGGGGUACGGCUAGGGUAAAAAGAAUCAGAAAAAUAUGGAAGAAUGGUGAAGGAAGGCUGUGGCAAAGAGAGGGAAUGAUUUCUGGCGAAAAUUCUGAAUAUGGAGGGGUGGUUGAUGUGUUUUUGAUGUAGUGUAAUCUCUAGUGUUCUUCCCUUCACUCCCUAUUUAUAGAAGCUCCAAAGCAAAGAAUCACUCAAGUGGCUUCAAUAAACAAUACAAACAAAGACCAAAAUGAUGCAAAAACAGCUAGUUUACAUGCUCUUUUAUCAUUGUGUCUUGCUUUUAACAAAAGGAAAUCAUUCCUCUUUUGCUAAUUCAACUCCUUUGUAGCUGUCCAUGUGCCUUCAUUCUUCAAUUUCUAAUGCAUUUGCCUUGUAUUCCAUCCCUUUUCCACAUGUACUAGCUGUUAGACUUUCACACACAUGUUUUGCAUCAUUUCAUCUUGCAAACAUCAACUUUCGGCCACUUUACACCUCUACACACAUGUUAUGCAUCAUUUCAGCUUGCAAUUAUGUUUGUAGUUGCUGAAAAUGUGAAUACAUCUUGUAAAGCAAUCCAACAAAUGGCAUCUUUCACUUCUUUUCCUUUCAAAUUGUUCCUUAAGUGUAUGUAUCUGCACACUUCCACACUUCAACUUUAUUAUUCAGAUUUUUGCAUGUGUUGAAACCCUUUUUAAAACACCAAAAACGUCCAUCCCACUUGCUCCAUAUGCAUGCAAUCCAUUUUGGCCCAAAAUUGCUCCAAAUUGCACCAAAAUGCACUUUCUUUCCAACUUUGUUAUUAGGACCUACAAACACACAAAAAUAGCUUAAAACAUUCUUAUAAGCAAUAACUAACUAAGUAAAUGCAAGAAAACAUGUUAACUAAGUCGCAUAAAUAUGCUCCUAUCACUUAUUCACCAAAGGUAGGUACAAAUGUCAAAUUGAAAAUGACACAUAUAGAGAGAAAAAAUUGGCUGGGCGCAAACUCAAAUAUUAGACUAAGAUCAUUUUUUAGCAUGCAUUUGCAUCGGCCUUCUCCUUAGCCUGGUUGUUAAUUGCGCUAGCAUGAUUUCGGAAGGUUCUAGCUUCAAAGGCUGGUAAUGACUUUGGUGAUUAUGAUGAAUUGGAGUAAUACUCGGGAGAUUAAAUUUGUGGAUAAUUAUUUAUCAAGGAUGCUGCUAUCUACAUAAUCCAUUAUCAAACAGGUCCAUAAACCAAAUGAGGUAUUCUAAAAUACCUUUGUUUUUCUUUAUUUUCCCAAAAACAAUAUGAAGACAAAGUGAAAUCCAUUUACAAAUGUAGCCCUUAUUUCCCUUAUUUUUAAAAUAUUCAUUAUUGAUGCAGUGCAUGACAAUUAAAAUGGUCCCUGUAUUAAACAUGUUAUUGGUGGCUUUUCAUCUUUCAAGGUCAUGUUUUAAUUAGACGUCUAGAAACUAUAAUCUUAGUAUUAAGUAUCUAUUCUACUAAUGUAUUGUAAUCUCUCUAUUUAAAGGACUCCAUAUGUAUGUUUAAGGGAGACUUGAUGAAUGAAAAAUUAUAUUUGCCUUGUGCAUUUGAAGAUGAUUUCUCCUCCUUAAAAUCAAGUGUGAGACUUGGUCAUGUCGAGUGAAUCCAUGAUUAGCAAGUAUCGUUGCCCCUGGUUGAAUGAUUCCCAAGUCAUCUAUCCCUAUAGAGACGUGAAGUGGCAUCAGAGUAAGUUUUCCGCUGCGGUUGAAGAUCAUGGUUGUGAUUUACAAUCUUUUUGCAGAGCACCCUGUCGAAGAAAUCAGUUUCGUAGAUUGAAAUUCUCCACCAAUUUACGAUGAGUAUGUUGAUGAUGAUGACGACCUCAAAGAGAACUUUUUCGAUGGGUGUUCUCUACUAAUUUAUGGCAAGCAAGAUGAAGAUUACAAAGCUAUGUUUAAGGUGGUUAAUCACCAGUGUUGUUUGCAAUUUGGAGUCGAUGUCAAUCAUGCCCAAAUUGUUUAUGAAUACUGCUUUGGUGACAAAGGAAUGAGUUUGUCUGUGAAAGAACGGUGCGUGCAUCAUCAUAACGAGGUAAUAUUUGACCUUGAUACCCAUUAUAUAUGUGACUACAUUUGGGAACCCUUUAUUGCUUUCCACAUUAGGAAAAUACACUUGGAGCAAAGUAUUUUUUUCGUCAUCAAUAUCAAAAGGAAAUUUGGAAGACUGAUGUGCAUUUUUCAAAAGAAAAUGUUGCUAUCAUGAAACAGCUAAGGGGUGCACAGAACUUGAGAAAAUUUUGGAAAGUAAAAUACUUGGAAUAUUCUACUAUAUGGAUUUGCUUAUGGAUUUGGAAAAGUUUUGUGCUAAACUAGCUAUAUGGAUUUGCUCAUGGAUUUGGAAAAGUUUUGUGCUAAAUCUAGUAGUAUUUUAGUGACAAGCGGGAUCACCCAUCUUUGGCAAACUUGCACGUCUGCCGCUUCAUCUUCUCCUAAUGUCAUGCUAGAGGCUAGGUUGGCGAGAGCGUUUGCCAUUUGAUUUUCUUUUCUUGGCACAUGUUCUAGUGUUACAGCCUCGAACCUUUGCAGCAAUUGAGUUGCCAGCCGAAAGUAUGGGACAAGAUCAUCUUUCCUCACCUCAUAUUCAGUCAAGAGUUGAUUGAUUAUGAGCUUUGAGUCGUCAUAUACCUCAAGGGUUGUGGUUUCCAUGUUGAUCGCCAUUUGGAGCCUAAUGAUCAAUGCUUGGUACUCAGCGACGUUGUUGGAGCAUAAUUUACUCAGUUGAAAGGAAUAAGGUAGUAUUUGCCUUUAUGGUGACAUGAUACUCAUGCCCCUGCUCCGUCUGCUCAUGCAGAUCCGUCGAAGAACAUCGUCCAUGUCGGGAAAAUGUUGAUGUAGAACACCUCCUUGUCAGGCAAGUCGUCUGAGAUUUUCCAAUCAGCCAGGAUUGGGUGAUCGGCAAGGAAGUCUGCAAGCGCUUGUCCCUUAACGACUUUAGCUGGAAUGUAGAUGAUCUCAUAUUAAUUAAGAAGCAGAGCCCAUUUAGCAAGUCGCCCUGUCAAGACCAGUUUGGACAUGAUGUAUUUGACCGGGUCAGCUUUAGCAACCAGGUGGAUGGUGUUAGCGUGCAUGUAAUGCUUGAGCUUCUGGAUGGCAAACACUAAGGCAAGGCAUAUCUUUUCUAUUGAGGAGUAGUUUAACUCAGCACCGGUAAGAGUUCGACUGAGGUAGUAAAACACUUAUUCUUUCUCGGAUUCAUUCUUUUAUGCCAAGAGUGCUCCAACUGAACUUUCUUGGGCAGCGAUGUACAAUAUGAGCAAUUUCCCAGGCACAGAUGCCCCCAGGAUAGGUGAACUUGAUAAAUACUUUUUUAUGCUUUCAAAAGCAUUGUGGCAUGCUUCAUCCCAUACGAACGGAGCAUUAUUCUUCAUGAGUCUACUGAACGGUUGACAACGCCCUGCAAGGUUGGAGAUGAAGCGUCUGAUGAAGGCUAGUCGUCCUUAUAGACUUUUCAGCUCGUGCAUGUUUCUUGGCUCAUGCAUGCUUUAAUGACCUUGAUCUUUGAUUAGUCCAUUUCAAUGCCACGGUGCUUGACAAUGAAGCCGAGGAAUUUUCCAGAGGUGAUGCCAAAUGCACACUUUAACGGGUUCAUCUUGAGGUUGUAUUUUCGCAGCCUUUCAAACACUAUUCGUAAAUCCUUCAAGUGAUAUGAUCUUUUCUUUGUCUUGACCACCACAUCGUCUACAUAACACUUUACGUUUUUAUGUAGCAUGUCAUUGAAUAUUUUUUGCAUUGUGCGUUGAUAUGUAGCUCCAGCGUUCUUCAGACCAAAUGGCAUCACCUUGUAGCAGUAGAUACCUUUUGGAGUGCGGAAGGCUGUUAGUUCUUCAUCUUCGAAAGCCAUGUGAAUUUGAUUGUAUCCAGAAGAGCCGUCCAUGAAUGACAGUGCCUCAUGACCAGUGGUUGCGUCUACCAUGAUUUCGAUGAUUAGCAAGGGGAAGUCAUCCUUCGGGCAAGCAUCGUUGAGGUCCCGAAAGUCUACGCAAACACGUAUUUGUCCAGAUUUCUUAAGGACAAUAACGAUGUUGGAGAUCCAAUUAUGGUAUUGCACCUUUCGAAUGAAGCUUGCUUCGAUUAGCUUGUCAAUCUCGACCUCAAUUUGUGGGAUGAGCUUGGAUCGAUAACGCCUUUGAGUUUGCUUUAUCGGUCGUGUUCUAGGCUUUACUGCAAGAUGAUGCACAACGAUGACAUGGUCAAGGCCAGGCAUUUCCUUGUAGGUCCAACCAAAGACGUCUUUGUACUCUAAUAGCAGUUGGUAAUACUUCUCUAUCUCAUCCGUACUUAGCAGUGCACUUACGAAGAUAGGUUUUGGUUUUUCUUUUGUGCCUAAGUUGAGUUCCUUGAGAUCAUCAAUCGUGGCUUGCCCCCAUCUUCAAGUUGUGGUGGUGCGGCAGUGACAUCUUCCUCGGGGAUUUCGUGUUCUUUUCCUUCUUGGAUUGUAAUGUGGAAGACGUCUUGGACUUCCUCUUCAAUGCCGUCAUUUUGGGCUUAUUGGCGUGAAAGUUGGCCGGUGCGGAUGAUGGUGCGCCUUCUCACUUUCAGUGAUCCAAUUGUGUCAACCUCCAAGAUUGCUUGGCGUUUCAUUCUUGAAGGAAUAGAGCUUUGAACAUCAUCUUUUCCUGCUAGAUCGUCAAGCUUUUCUUUCUUUGGCAUUGUCUCCCUCUUUCUAGAAGGCUUCUUGUUGUCUUCAAUUCUUUCCAAAGUUGACCAUCGUAGAUGAGAGUUAGCAGUGUUGCUUUGUUUCUUAGGUUUUGACAACCUUUUGAAAACAGAGCUUUGGGAUGUUGGCGUGUUAAACCUCUUGAAAACGGAGGUUUGGUCUUGACCACCAAUGCGGUCAAGUGUCGAAAUUCUGGGCCUUGAACGAUUCAUCCUAUCGAAGACUGAUGUCCGAGGGGCGGACUUAGGUUCUUCUUGAUCUUGUUCAAUGCUCACGCUGAUGUGUUGAGUGCUAGCAUUUUUUGCUUUGCUUGAAAUCUUCACGGGUGCAUUUGGUGUGAAGCCAAUUCCAGUUUUGUUGUUGUCGACUCUGUAACCAUGCUUCUUCAGCUUUUUUUGAGUCUCGGUGAGGUCACGUUUUUUGUUUUGAUGAUGUUUGAAACCUUCUUUCCAAGAUUCGAAGAAGAAGCGAAGUUGUACCUAGCCUUCGACAUGAGUUUGUAGGCGUUUGGAUCAAAACCUUCUUCGGUCUUCUUGGUUGGAAAAAAGCUUGGUUCCACCCCCUUUGGCAGAGCUUUUAUGAAGCCUUAUGGUAGUCUUGCAACCUUAGCGUUGCCUAGCUGUGUCAGAGGCAAAACUGUAUUCAUCUUGAGCAACUUUACGUUAUCCUUGUGUCGUUGUGCAUCAGCUUUGCUUACUCCAGUUUCAAACAGGGAUUGACCAUUCUUUCUUCUCGACAUCGGGAUGUAUCGGAAUACAGGUGUGCUUAGUCCAUUUGAGGGAGUCCUAUUCCCUUUGGUUGUUACAGGUUUAGCAGACUCAUUAUCGUUUUUGCUUGAAGAUGGCGUAGCUUCUCCUUCUUGCUUUUUGGGCAUGGCUUGCCACUUUUGUUUUUUAGGUGUUACUUUGCUCGUGGAUUUGAUCUCUUUUGGGAGGGCUUCGGGCACCAUGUCUUCCUCCAUGUAGAACUUGGCGUCUGCGAAGUGUGAUUCUGUUUCGGUGAAUGGCUUGGUAUCACCUACAAUCACCUUCACUUCUUCCCGGUAGAAUUUUAAACAUUGGUGGAGGGUGGAUGACAUUACUCCAUUCCUGUGGAUCCAAGGCCUUCCUAAGAGCAAGUUGUAGGAAGUUCUUGCAUCAAUCACGUGGAAUAUCGUGCUUGAUUUGAGUUCAUCAAUGGCCAUUUCCAUUCGGAUCAUGCCCAUCGCUCUUUGUCCUCCUUGAUUAAAACCUUGGAUUAGUAGACGGCUUAGGGAUAGUUCAUCCACCUUGAUGCCAAUUGUGGUCAUUGUUGACUUUAGCAUGAUGUUUAUGGCCGAUCCACCAUCCACAAGCAUGUGGUUGACUUUAUGCUCCCUUACGUACCCAGAGACGAAGAGAGGACGGUUGUGAGGCUUAGAUCCUAGCAGCAAGUCUUCGUCAGUGAAGUGGAUUGCAUCUUAGGCAGUACAACACAUGGCAUACUCAUGUGGUCAAAGUUUCAAGUCUUCGUCCUUACUUUCUUGCACUUCAUGGUUGUCAGGACUUGCUAAGACCGCUGCUAGAGCUCUUCGCAUCUUCUUUGGCAAUCGUAGUGCUUCUUCGAUGCUAAAGUGUGUUGGAAGACCUUCUUUGGUCGUGAGGGUCUUUUCUUCCUCAGUGGUGAUAGCUUUGCCUUUUGAGGGCUCUUCCAUCUCUACUUCAACCAUGUGACAGGCGACGGUAGUGCACUGUUGGAAGAAGUCAUUCGGGAAGUACUCGUGUAAGGAGACAGGAAUGCGUGGCUCUUGCUUCAUAAGUUCCCCAGCAUAUGUUGGCUUAGCAGCUCUUGCGUUUCUUUUGGGUUUCCUAUUGUUGCGACGGCAGUGCUUUCUCCUUUGCUCCCCAUUUAGCCUUAUGGCUUGCAGUCUUGGCUUCCUUUUUUUUUAUAGGUCAUAAAUGUCCACCCUUCUUCAUCAUCAGUAAGUGCAUCUUGGUUGUUUUCCCCCAGUGAUGGUUGUGCAGAAGGUGCCAUGCAGCUUGAGCAUUGACGGGAAUUGUCAAGUGUCACUUGGAGAGGCACGGGAUCGAAUGAUCCAAACGCAAUUGUAGUAGUAUGUGUUGUGGUUGUGUCUUCAAGGUCGAGCUCAAUUUGCCUUUGUUGCACUAGCUUUAUGAUGAGUUCUUUGAGGAUGAAGCAUUUGCUAAUAGGAUGGCUCACGAUAUGAUGAUACUUGCAAUACCUAGGAUCGUUUAUGUGAUUCAUCUCUUCAAGGCGUUUGCAUUCUGGUAACUCGAUCACCUUCUUUUUUAGCAAGUCGUCUAACAUUGCAUCCAUGUCUGAGUCAGGAAAAGUGUACGUCUUUUGCUCCAACUCCCUCAAGGUGUUUUUGUACUUGUCUUGGGUGUGAGAAGGCUCAUCUCUUUAUUUCCUUCGCUUUGUUCUUGGAGGAGAUUUUGAUAGGCUUGGAGUAGGUCUUGAUAGGGGUAGUGUUCAUGGUAAAAGCUUCUUUGGCGAGCUUCUUCCCAGUCUUGUCUACAUUCGGGAUGAACACUUUAUCCUUCUUGAAGUUGGUGAUCGGCUCCUUCUUCCCAUGAUGGGCGAUGCUUAGCUCCAUGUCGUAGGAACGAGUUGCCAGCUCCUCAAAUGUUCUUGGUUUUAUGCCUUGAAGGAUGUAAUGUAACCCUUAGUGCAUGCCUUGAAUGCAUAUCUCAAUGGCGGAGGUUUUAAAAAGUCAAUCUUUGCAAUCCAAACUUAAUGAACGCCAUCUAUUAAUGUAGUUGACGACAUGUUCAUCCUUCCAUUGUUUCGUAUUGGUCAGUUCCAGCAUGCUUACAGUGCGGCGCGUGCUGUAGAAGUGGUUGAGAAAUUCCCUUUCUAGUUGAUCCCAACUGUUGAUAGACUCGGGCUCGAGGUCAAUGUACCAGUCAAAUACGUUACCCCUUUCUAGUUGAUCCCAACUGUUGAUAGACUCGGGCUCGAGGUCAAUGUACCAGUCAAAUACGUUACAUUUCAGCGAGCACACGAACUGCUUGACGAGGUAGUCUCCCUCGGUCCCAGCAUUGUUGCAUGUUUCAAUGAAAUAUGCGACAUGUUGCUUUGGGUUUCCCUUUUCAUUGAACUGCAUGAAUUUUGGCGGCUGAUAUCUCAUCGGCAUCUUCAAAGCUUCAAUCUUCUUGGAGUAGGGUUUUGAGUACAGCAUAGAGUCAUGUGAGCUUUCUUCGUAUUGCGUCCUAAUUGUGUGUGCGAUCAUCUUCUACAGUUGCUAGAUAGAGAGAGAUCCCAUGAACGCAGUUGCUUGGUCUAGCUUCAACUUCUCUUCAACUUUCUCUGCAGGAGGCUCCUCAUCCUCGUCGUUUUCCUUCUUUAGUGGAUUAACCUUUGGGUCGACUUUCACGUUGGGCUUCACAUCUAGUUGGUUGACGAGUGCGGCGAUUUGCAAGUCUUUCUCCUCCACAGUCUGUGUGAGUUUUGUGAUCGCUUCAUUCAUUUGAGCCAGCUACUCAUCGAUUGAAGUUGCUCCGGUAAUCAUGACUUGAAUGUCUAUGUUACUGCUUGAAUCGGCAUCGGAAAGUAAGGGCUCUGAGUAUUUCCUCGGGCUUUCCUCUCUUGGCGUCCUUAGCGAGGCCAGGGUGAUCACAGGCUUGUGCUUCGGGUGCUCUUGUUCCUUCGGCGGAGUUGAUGCAAGGGUGGAAGAGGCGGCAAAAAGAGCUCUUUCCUUGGUGGUGAGAACAUCUUGAACCUUCUUUGAUUCCAUUUGUGUUGUUUCUUUUUUUUUUUUGAGUAUUCGAAGAUAGAGAUGAGAGGUAGAGAUAGUCCCACUGGGCGUGCCAAAUUUGUAAACACGAAUAUUCCUGCAAUGAAUGAGACAAGAACACGUGUACAAAAUAAUAUUUGUAUUAAUGAUUUAGGGGUUACAAUCUCUUCUACAAAUUUAGCCUCUGAUUCGAUCGUUGUAAUGUGUAGAUUUAUGGAUUGUGCUGUUGAUCCAAGGGCCGUUGGGGCUUGAUAUUGAAGGUUGACGAACGGAUCUUCAAGGGGCUUUUGGGCUUGAUCUUGAAGAACGGUUGUGUGGAUUUCUUCAAGGGCUUUUGGGCUUAAUCUUGAAGGUUAAUGGGUAAACGGAUCUUCAAGGGCUUUUGGGCUUGAUCUUGAAGAACAGUUGGAUGUGUGGAUUUGUUGAUGUUGUUGAUGUUAUUGAUCCAAAGGGUCGUUGGGGCUUGAUCUUAGGAUGAACGGACAAUGAACGAUGAACACUUUCUUCAAGGGCCGUCGGGGCUUGAUCUUGAAUUGGUGGAAGUUCUUCAAGGGCCAUUGGGGCUUGAUCUUAAAGGAGGAUUUAACGAAGAACGAAGAACGAAGAAGGCUUUCUUGAUCGUUCGGGAUUUGCUUGAGGGCUUUAGAGUUUCAAAGCUUCAAGGUUUUGGUGUGAUGUGAAUUGGUGUCUUUAUCCCUUGAUGGAGAAGCCUAUUUAUAGGCUUUGAGAAUGAAUCACCACCAUCCAUUUGUUUUGAUGAAGUGAGUGGAUGUUGUAGGUGAAGUGAGUGCAUGAUGUUGGUGAAAUGAGUGGAGGUUGUAGGUGAAGUGAGUAUAUGAUGUAGGUGAAGUGAAUGAAUGUUGUAAUUUUAAUGCAUUGGUCAACAUUUAUUUCACCAAAAUUUCGAGUUCUACAGAGGGUUCUAAACUUUACAUUAAUUUAAGAAGAAGAAAUUUCGAACUCGGACCGCAUGUGUGAAAACCUAAUACCAUAUUCCUUAUUUCUUCUUGUUUCAUCAAGUUCAAUGCCUAAUCCUAAGUCCUAACAAGUCAAUUGACUUGAUACUUCAUUGAACCAAUCAUAUACUCUCAUUCACAUAUAUCCACAAAUUCGAGAAAUUUUUAUGUAUACUGAAAUGUAAGAUGGUACACCGUGCAUUAUAAUAUAAAUAGACGUUAAAGUUGACGUGUCCAAUUUUAAGAUAUAUUUUCGAAGGAUUCACAAAUUUAUGACCCUUUAGUUCUCUCAAUAAAUAAAAUAAAAAUCAAUUCACAUGAAAAGAACCAUGCUUCCACAAUCAAUUCAUAAGUUGGCAUGCCUCAUUUUAAGAUAUAUUUUCAUUUUUGUCUCAAUUUUUUUAUUUUUUUAUUUUAUUUUUUUUGCAUUUUUAUCCAUGUAGUUUCAAUUUGUUUUCACUUUAGAAUUGAUUCGUAUGGCUCUAUUGUGUCUGUCGAGUGGUAACUUUUCCUCUUUAGUUUCCUUUUUUCUCAAUAUUGGGUAUCUUGCCACUUUCUAUUAUGGCUUCAUCCUUUGCUAAUGGUCAGGUGGCUCAAGGUUGAUUCGUCUUGUGUUAACGAACGGGCUGAAUUUGGGGGGAUUUUUCGCUCAUCGGAGCAUGGGGCACUUGAAACACAAAAUUUGUAAGUUUAGUUGCUGCAAAAAUUCUUGUUUUCAUUGAGGCCGUACGUAUAGCUUGGGUCAGAGAUUGGAAACAUUUGUAGAUUGAAACAAACUCCACGUUGGUUAUUCACUAUCUUUUUAAGGCUUCUAAUGCGAUCCAUUGAUUUUAAUUGGUUGAUUGGAAGAAUUGUCUUUGGCGACUUCGUCAAAUGUGAUUUAUGUGUACCUCCAUUCUUCCUUCCUCCAGCACUAUCAUGAACCUCUCUAGAUGACAUCUCUCUCAUCUCACCCCUCUUUCUUUUCUCUCUUCUCUUCAAGCCAAAGUCGGCUGCUGAUUUUUCGAGAUUUGGGGGAGAGGAGCGGCUAAUCUGAAAGACGGGUUGGGAUUUGAUGUGUUGAUGAGUUUGGAUAGUACUGUGUUUGUCUUCCUUUUGGUGUGUUGGUUUAUGGGUCUGCUUCAAAUUGCCCAGAUUGCCAAUUGUACUGAAACUCUCUAUAUUGUACCGAAACCGAAUUGGUACUGAAAGGUUCAGUACACCUUUGGUUCACCAUCAUACUAUACCGUACCGGUACUGAAAUUUUGUUUUAGGUUCGGUUUCAGUUCCACCCCAUCCUGAACAAUAUUGUGCCCACCCUUAGUUUCUACGUGUGAUGGUCCUCACCCCUUUGGUACCUUGCGCGCGACCAUUGUCGAUGAGCUACCUAUUCUCUCUCCAUUUAAAUUAAAAAGAAAAACUAAAAACAAAAACAAAAAAAAACAAAAAAUAAAAAAUAAAAAAUUGUUUCAUGUACUCUUUCGGUUUACCUUCCUUUCCCCCACCGCUAUUGCUUCACCCUUCUUCAUGAAUCGAUGGACUCAAAGGUCCAUGUAUGCUUUAAUGAGACAUACAACAUUGGAGUGAAAAAUAUGAGCAUAAACAUACAGUAUCUCGUUCCAAAUACUUGGGGAAACAACUUCACCAAAUGUAAGCUACAAAUGUCAAAUUAAAGAUGAUAUAUAUGAAAUUGACUACUCAAAUGGUGAGGACUAAGUUCAUUUUUGAGCAUACGUUGGCACUGGCCUUCUUCUUAACCUAGUGGUUAAUUGGGCUGGCAUGAUUCCUCAAGGUACUGGGUUCGAAGGCUAGUACUGGCUCUGGCGAUGAUGAUGAUGAUGAAUGGAUCUUUAUUCAAGAGAAAUGCUAUGCUAAGGGACUCUCUCUCUCUCUCUCUCUCUCUCUCUCUAUGUAUAUUAUCAAGCAGGUCCUUGAACCAAAUGAGGUAUUCUAAAAUACUUCUGUUUUUCUAUAAUUCCAUACGGAAAAGGGAAUGAAGACAAUCUGUAAUCCAUUUGCAAAAGUAUCCCUUAUUUAUCCUUUUUAUUUUAUUUUAGAAUUUACUAUAAUUUGAGGGAGGUGAGAGUUUCGAGUUCGUGAUGCAUAAGUAAAAUCUCAACACCCUAUAUUAUUUCUUAUUGUCUCAUCAAGCUCAAUGCCUAAUCCUAAAUCCUAAGAGCAACUCCAGUGGGAUGAAUCGCUAGAGGGACAGUGGGAGCAACAGGGCUGGAUCGCCCGAGGGAGCAAGGCCAGCGUUGGCUAGCGAGGGAGCUGGAGGGACAUCGGGCGCCGGCCCUUGAGCCCGAGAUGGGUUUGACGUCAGUUGACAUCAGACGCCUUUAUUAAAUUUUUUUCUGUUAGGCGCGUGCCAUUCAAGCGCGCGUCAGGAGACACAAAAUCAGAAAAUGGGCCCACGGUGCAAAUUUUUUUUGUUACCGUUGGGGAGAAACGUGGCUUCCCCACGGCCGUUGGAUUUCAACGGAUAUAAAUUGUGAACCGUUGGAUUUCCAACGGUAAAAAAAAUAAUAAAAACUUCAUUUAAUAUCACCCGUUAGAUCUGAGAUCAACGGUUCACAUUAUUAGACUUUAAAAAUUAAAAAAUCAAAAAUAUUACCGUUGGGCCACGUGGCACAAUCUGGAGUGUUGGAAUUCAAAUUGGUUUAAAUCCAAUGGUAUAGAUUAAUUAGGUGAAUAAAUUUUUUUUUAAAAUGUAAAAAAUUAUUAAAAAUCCGAAAAAAAAAAUUUGAAAAAUUAAAAAAAAAAAUUGAUUUUACUUUUUUAUAAAUACCUUCUCAUUAUCUUCUACCUUACACCACAAUUUCAUAUCUUCUCAAAGUUUCAAUCCAAUUUCAUAUAUUGUCAAGUUUGAAUCCAAUUUCAUAGUUUUAUAUAUUUACUUUUCUAUAAAUUCAACAUAUAUUGUCAAGUUUGAAUUCAAUUUCAUACUUUUAUAUAUUUACUUUUCUAUAAAUUCAACAUAUAUUGUCAAGUUUGAAUUCAAUUUCAUACUUUUAUAUAUUUACUUUUCUAUAAAUCUAAUUUCAUAUAUUGUCAAGUUUCAAUCCAAUUUCAUAGUUUUAUAUAUUUACUUUUCUAUAAAUUCAACAUAUAUUGUCAAGUUUGAAUUCAAUUGCAUACUUUUAUAUAUUUACUUUUCUAUAAAUCUAAUUUCAUAUAUUGUCAAGUUUCAAUGCAAUUUCAUACAUAUCUUUCUUAAAUACAUACCUUUUCUAUAAUCUACUUUUCUAUCUUUCUAUAAAUCUAAUUUUAUAUAUUUGCUUUUUCUUAAAUACCUAUCUUUCUCUCAAAGUUUCAAUCCAAUUUUUUCCCAAGAAAAUGACUAAUGAUGCAGGUACGAAUUGGACGCUUACUGAAGAUGUUACGUUGUGUACUAGCUGAGUUGAAGUUAUUCAUGAUCCGAUUUCGGGUAAUGAGAUGCAGUUGAGAGAAAUGUGGGGUCUUAUUCAUACCAAUUAUCUUGAGAAAAUUGGUGGGAAAAGAACCAAAGAAUCUUUGUCCAGUCGUUGGAGACUACUGAGCAAAUCAUUUUAUACAUGGAGAGACGCCUUGGCACAAGCUAGUGCUAAUCUUCGAAGUGGGGAAAGUUUAGCGGAUCAGGUAACGAUAUAUUUUUUAUUUGUUUGUACUAUACCCAAAUUUACAUUACCUACUUUGAUUAUAAUUAUUUCUUCUCCCGCAUUGUGUAGGACCUUCAAGCACAAGCUUGGUAUAAUGCCAAAACCACAAGCAAAAAUAAAUCGUUCAACCGAUGGGAGUGUUGGAAUAUUGUCAAAGAUUGUCCUAAAUUCAAAGUUGUGCCUAUCGGUCCAGAAGUGGUCUUUAACAGCACCCCUCUACACUCUACGCCCGAUCAUGCCUCGCAUGAUCAUGAUGAAGAUGAUGCAGAAGACGUGCCCGAAACGCCUCCCGUUGAACAAGCGUCGGGGCCGACCCGUUUUCCAAUUAGGUCUCAACAAGGUAGGAAGGCUUCAAAGAGAAAAGGUAAUGCUUCCAAGAAUGAUUAUGCAAAGUAUAUGGAAGAACUUGCCCGCCAAGGUGAAUUGAGUUUGGCCCGGGAAAUUGCCAAAUUUGAGGCUGAUAAGGCUAGAGAAGAUGCAAAAGCUGCAGCUAUUGAGAAAGAAUUUCAAGCUAAUGAGAGAGAAAGAGAACUACUUUGGCAAGAAAGGGAAUAGGUUAGAGAAGAAAGAAUGGCUCAACGAGAUCGUGACAUUAUGAAGGAGCCUUUAGAAGGGAAGUCUCCAAACUCUAAAUAUUUUUGGAAGACGGAGAAAGCGGACGUGGUGCGAAGGAGGCGUGCAAGAGAAGCGAGAGCAAGAGGAGAUGGUCCUAGCACGACAAGAGAAGAGCAUCCUAGCACCACAAGAGAAGAUCAUCCUAGCACCACAAAUUGGUUAGGUGAUGAUUAUCCAUUCACGAACCCAUAAUUUUCCAAUCACUUUGUUUGUAAUCGGAGCCCAUAAUUUUCCAAUCAAUUUGGGUUGUAAUUUCUUAUUUAUUGAAUAGAGUACUUUAUGUUGUUUCCAAUUUAAAUAAUUUAGUACUUUAUUUAAACUAAGAGUAUAUUUAUUUAAUUUGGUAAUUUAUUUAUACUAAGAUAAUCUUUAUUCAAAACACAUUUAAACACACCAAAUAAAAUUAAAUCAACAUACCAAAUAAAAUUACAUCAACACACACCAAAUCAAAUUACAUAAACAUACCAAAAAAAAAAUCACUAAAUGAACUUAAAAAAACACACCACAUAAAAUUAAAUAAACACACCAAAAAACAAACACUAAUGAACUUAAGUAUCUUCAACUUGUUUCAAUUCUCACUGGUGCUCUAUCAAGUCAAUUUGGCGGGCAUUGUGCAUAUAUGGCCUUUGAAGUGCAGUAUAUCGUUGAAUGACCCUAUCAUUGUAACAUCCAUCCCUUUAUAAUGGCUCGUGUUGCACGGGUUCUUCGGUGGCGUCAUGAGCAUAAUAUAUUUGUGUUCUAGAAUUGUUCAUCGUGUCUGGCUUAUAUUCAUCAACGGCAUCAUAAUCGUACUCAUCUUCCACAAUCAUGUUGUGAAGAAUGAUGCAUGUCAUCAUGAUGGAUCGAAGCGACUCUAAAUCAAACAUUCUGGCAGCACCCCUAACAAUCGCCCAGCGAGCUUGGAGGAUACCAAAACAACGCUCCAUAUCCUUCUUGCACCCUUCUUGACAACUUGCAAAGUGUUUUUCCUUUGUACUACGCGGACGUGGCACUGUUUUGACAAAUGUUUCCCACCUUGGGUAAAUGCCGUCUGCUAAGUAGUGACCCGUCGUACUUAUGUCCGUUGACAUAGUAUGUGACUUUUGGUGCCUUUCCUUGCAGGACAUCGUUGAACACUGGGAUUGUGCAAGCACGUUGAGGUCAUUUUGAGCUCCUGGAACCCCGAAAAUGGCAUGCCAAAUCCAUGUAUCGAAAGAUGCCACCGCCUUCAAAAUGAUACUUUUUAUCCUUUUCCGUCCCCAUAAGCGCCUUGCCAUGCACUUGGACAAUUUUUCCAAGUCCAGUGCAUACAGUCAAUGCUUCCAAUCAUCCCUGGAAAACCUCGCAUCUCCCCUUUCUUCAGAAGCCUUUCUAAGUCCAUAUUAGUAGGUAUUCGGAGGUAUUAUGCGGUGUAGAUAGAUUCGAUUGCCGAGCAAAACCUCAUCAGGGACUCAAGAAUGGUUGAUUUUCCCAUCCUCGCCAUCUCAUCCACUUGGUCUGCAAAUGCUCCAUACGCAAGCAUCUACAAGGCAAUAGUAAUUUUUUUGCUCAGGCAAAAGACCCAUAGCACCAAAAGCAUCCGGCUUUUGCACAAAGUAAGAAUCAUGGUUGCAAACAGCACCCAUGAUUUUGUUGAACAAAUGACGUUCCAUUAUAAAACGACGUCUAAAGUACGUAUCAGGGAAUGCACUGUUACAGACAAAAUAAUCGUCCAAGAGAUACUCACCUCAUCGUUGCCUGUCUCUACCAAUGUUUACAUCACGGCUGGGCCUGCAGAUUUGAGCCACAGCUUGGAUGACUCAACGGGAAUGUGAGGCUCUUGCCAUUCUUGAUUCGUCGUCUCUCCUUCUACGCUCCUCAUCCUCUUCCCUCUGAUUUUGGGCCGCCUGGCGUUUGAACAUUCCUUCUAAUUGGUUAAACAGUUCUUCCUCUUGCUGAUCAAUUUCCCACAUCAUCCUUGAGGAAGAAGAAUACAUUGUAAGAAGGAAGCAAAAACUAUGAAUAAUGAUAGAGAUUUAGGUGAAUAAGAAAGCAGAAACUAUGAAUAAUGAUAGAGAUCUUGAGAAAAUUGGUGUGAGAUUUCUGAGGAUGGAUCAUGGAUUAUAUGGAGAAUUCAGAAAGGAUUAGGUUGUAGAUAAUGCCAUGUGGCAUGCUGUCAUUCGUUAAAAAUCUGGUGAAAAUCUAUCAUCAAAUAUUGUAAACAGAUUGUAACAUGUGAUGCGACGUGAUUGGUUAAAAAUUUUAUCGGAAAUCCAUCACCAAUAAUUGUCUUUUCAGAUAAUGACACGUGGCGCAACGAGAACGAUUAAAAAUCUUAUCGGAAAUCCAUCACCAAUAAUUGUCUUUUCGGAUAAUGACACGUGGCACAACGAGAACGAUUAAAAAUCUUAUCCGAAAUUACGAAUAAAAUUAUUUUGUAUUAUUUUAUAAAUAAAAAACAUUCUAUUAUUUUAUUGCUAUAUUCUUUUCGAUUAAUAACACGGGGCUCAACAAGAACGAUUAAAAAUUUUAUCCGAAAUUACAAAUAAAAUUAUUGUGUAUUAUUUUAUAAACUAAAAAAAUAUUAAUAUUUUAUUGCCAAUUGUCAGGGCUAUUGAGUGCAGGGGUGGAGAUGCAAAAUGCGAUUACUGUUCAUUAAGGGCAGUUACUGUUCAUUGGGUGGAUAGCAUAGUGGAUUGCCCUAGGGAGAAUGGAUCAUGCUGGAACUGCUCUAACAAGCCAAUUGACUUGAUCCUUCAUUGAACCAAUCCUAUAGCCUCAUUCGCGUACCACAAAUUCAAGAAAUUUUAAUAUAUUUCCGGAACGCGAGAUGGUACACUACAUAUUAUAAUAUAAGUGGACAAUAAGGUUAUGUUCCAUUUUAAGAUAUAUUCUUCAAUGACUCUCCACAUAUUCAGUGACCCAGUAAAUGUGUCAAAAAAUAAAAUAAAAAACAAUCCACAUGACAAAUUGUGCUACUAUUAAUCCCCGACUUUCACUCCAUAUGGAAUCAUGCUUCCACACUCAAUCCAUAAGUUGGUAUGUCCCAUUUUAAGAUAUAGUUUCAUUUUUGUCUUUGCCUUUUUUUUCUUGUAUUUCUUAUCCAUGUAGUUUCAAUCUGUUUUCAUUUUAGUAUAAUUUGUCAACUAAGUUAAUUUUUCCUUCUCUUUUGUGCACAUCUUUUUGUUUGACGGCUUGGACUAACGAUGUAAAAUGAACUUUCGAGAACAGAAGUGCAACCAAACAAAAGAAGAUAAAGGAAGAAAAGUGAAAACAUAAAUAAACUACCAAAACAAUUGUUAAGAUAGUUGAAUCACACGUAAAAAUUAAGCAUAUUUUUUUUAUCCAACUAACGUUCCUCUUCCUUGUUCAUCAUCCAUGCUCCAAUCUACAAUAAUGCUUUACUAAGAUGGUCCGUAGAGCUUCAAUGCUUGCACCGGCUCAGGUGUUCUCAACACCAUCACUUUUCUCUAUUUGCAUUUGCUGGCAGUGUUGCUCGUGGAUUUCCACGAACUUCUUUCUUCUGGCAGCUGGAUCCAUUCAUCUAGUUGUCGGAUUUCUUCACUUGUGACUGCGUGCAAAGUGGUGUUUGAGGUUGGAUGCUACAAUCGGCGAGUGAACCUGAGGUUGGAAGCAUGGAAUUGGGCGAAUCGAGAAGUGUUGUUGCAGCAGCGGUUGCAGUUGACUUUUCAACUUUCUUUAGUUUUUUCUAUGUUGGGCCUAAGCUGUUGGUUGAGCUCUGGUUUAAUUUGUUUGGCUUGUCCAUUUUGCUUGUUUAUAAUUUUUUAUAUAUGGGCCUUUGGUUUGUACAGCCUGUAAGUUUGCUUGUUUCUGGUUCGUAAUAUGUAUGUAUGGUAUGUAUGUUUUUAGCUUUUGCAAACGUUUUCACUGGCUUUCUUCCUAGCCUGGUGGAUAAUUGCAUAAGCAUGAUUCCAUUUGGUUUCAGGUUCGAAUGCUGGUAUCGACUGAGAUGGUGAGUACAGAAUGAUGAUGAUGAUCAAGCAUGCAUGCAUCAGUAUGCCCUGUGUGUCUCCGUGUGUGUGUGUGUGUGUGUGUACGUACAUAUAUAUGGAAAGGGAUCCUCUCCGGAUCACCAAAAUGAGGUAUUUCAAAAUACCUCUGUUUUUUUUAAUACAUAUUUUACUCCCCUUUUUUUAUUUUAUGUUAUUUCAUUUAAUAGAUUUAACAUCAAUCAUGCCACUUGUCAGAUGAUAUUCUUCUCUACUUAUGACGUAAUGUUUUAAGUAGCUUAGUUCAAAUCCUUAACCAUACCGUGUAAACAUAUCAUUGUUUUCAAAACACCGAUCAUAAGAUAAAACAUUAAAAAGCUUGGCUAUAUGCAUUUUACAUUUGUUGAAAAUAGUUAAUUGCAGUAAUAGUUCCUGAAUUUUAAUCUAAUUGGAGCUUUGGUCCAUGAGCUAAAAAUCUAUGAGUCCCUUUACUUCCUACAGUAUGUGAUAAUGGUCUCUUUGAUAACUCCAGUUGAAUUUUUAGUUCAUUUUUGCUCUUGAAAUGCUUUAUUUCGGAUAAAGCAUCUACUAGCGUUAAUCAAAAUGACUCUUCAAUUUUUUUCUAUUGACAACACACAACUAAACAAUGUUCGAUGCUCAUUUUCAAAUUUUCAUAUGCCUAUUUUAUUAUCUAUAAUUUCCUCUGCUAUAUCUUUUUUGGUCGAAUUUCUCCUACUACUAUAUAUUAAACAUAGUAAUAAUACUUCUUUUCUAACUAUUUAGGUUUUAGCUCGACUAUACAAGAACAUGAGGUCCAACCAUAGUAUUGGACUAGUCUAUGUCUUUUCUAUUUACCAAAAUAUAUAAUGAUGGGUGGUAUUGGAUUGUGUUCAGAAAACUUAUUUACCACCGUGUCGAGAUUUAUAUUCAUGUAGAUUUCGAGUCGUUAGAAAUUAUCAUCUUAAUCAAUGUAUACUAACACCAAUUUGAAUAAUUUGGUCAAUUUUGUGUCCACUCCUAAUAAAACCAUUGUAUACUUAUAUUUUUAUGCAUUGCAUACUUUAAUUCUUUGAAAUAUAGUUCAACUCAAUAUUUUCUUAGAAUGCUGGUCACAUAUAUAUUGAGAACAAUUGUGACUCUAAAAUUACUAUGAAAUCGAUAUCCAUAUAUUGAGGACAAUUGGGCUACCAUGAAAUCUUUUCUUUUCAUCCUAAUUUGUGUGUUUAGGGACUCAAAUUGCCAAAUUAAAUAUCUGUAGCCAAAGAUUUGACACAAAUAUCUCUACUAAUCUCUACUAAUUAAUAAAACACUCAUUAUCAACCAAAAUAUUAUGAAAUUACCAAUUUAACUCUCUAAUUAAAACAUAACAUGAAUAAGAAAUAUGAGGCAGAAAUGUAAUUUCACACAACCAAAUUUUGCUGCUUUUUUUUUCAAAGCCUCACCUACAUGUAAUCCUAACAUAUAUCUAAUUAAAAUAAAAAUAAAAUAAAUAAUAAUAAAUAAAAAAAACACUUCCCAAUCCCACAUUCUCUAUCACUCUCUUCCUCUCUCAUUCUAUUUCAAAAACAAAAAUAAAAAAAUUUCUUACACAUUUUAUGUGUGCACAUAUGCUAAUAUGUGUGUGUAUAUAUAUUUGUAGCCCACAUGAACUCAAACAAGAGAGGAUAUUGAAGGAGGUCUUCCUGCGGGUGGGCCCACAUCCAAAUGGUUGAAAUGGUAAUUAUAUCGCACAAGUUAUUUUCUUUCACUGAAGUUUUGACUGGUCUUCUUCCAGCCUCGUGGUAAAGUGCGUUAGCAUUUCACCCUCAUGGUUUCGGGUUCGAAGGCUGGUAUAGCUAAGAAAGAAAAUGAUAAUCCAACCAAAACCCUAGUUUCCACCAAAUGAGGUAUUCUGAAAAAUACCUCUGUUUUUAUGUCAAAUUUCGUUGUUAAUAAACAAGCAUAUGCAUUAUUUUUAAUAUCGAACGAUAUUGUAAGACCUCUAUAAAGUUAUAAAUUUUUAUAAUUUUAAAAUGAUUAUUACUUAAUAGAGAUGUAGUUAAAAAAUAUUAUUUAUUAACUUAUUUUAUCUUUUAUGAAUGUAGUAUUUACUAAAUAGGAUUCAUGAGGAUGUUGUAUGGAAAUUCCAAUUUCAUGCCAAAAAGCUGUAAACAUGCUUGAGAAGUUAGAAACAUUUUGGCUUCAACAAGAAGGUGUCCAUGUUAACGAAAUAUUACUACCCACAAGCUCAAAGAUGUGGAAUAAAUUCUAAAAGCUAAAACACUGUCCCAAAUAACUUUAGAGAAAUAUUUAGUUCAUCUUAAACUUUUAUACGUGAUAUUCCAUAUUUUUGUAGUUAUUAACAAUAUGAGGUAUUGUACAUUGUCACAUUGAGAAAAAAAAACUGUACAAAACAAUGCAUUAUUGGACAAGAAACGCGAUAUGACAAUAAACUCGUGAAAAUGUUCGACAAUAUUUUUUAAAGAGAACAUUGUUAGGACCCAAAUCCAAAUAGUCGAAAGCCAUUCAUGGAAAAUGUUUCUGCAAACUAACCACCGGUCUUCCUCCUAACCUUAUGGAAAGUGCACAAGCAUGAUCCCUGUAGGUUCCGGGUUCGGGGGCAGGUAUCCUGCGAAUUUUAUGUUCUUCAUGAACCCUCAGAGGAAACAUAUUAUAUCAACAAUAUGAGGUAUUGCAAAAUACCUCUGUUUUUUUUUAUGUACCUACUAUUUUCUCUCCUCUAUGUAUUUAAUUAACUCUAUAAAUGUUUAUGUAUUUGUUCACUAUUAGUGAUUUUUUAUUAUUUAUCGAAGUCUAAAUAUUUUUAGGUUAAAAUGUUCAAAAAAAUAAUCUAUAUAAAUUUUAUUUAAAAAAAAUAAUAUUUAGCCUAAUGUUUUUCUCUUACCCAAAAUUUUAACCCAGGACCAUUGGUGAAGAAAAACUAUUUUCUAAGUGAAAACCUAAAUUUUAUGUGUGACAACCUGUCAUAGCCUGUCCCAAAUAUACAUUUAUCAACGGUGUGAAUUGACGAAUAUACCCUUGGACGUUAGUUGUGUAAUGUGGUUUAAGUGUAGCUUUGGGUUAAUAUUCUUAAAUCCUAAUUGUUUGGAACCAAUUAGGAUUAAGUUAUGGUGUUUUUUUGGUGGUUGACCAAUCCUAGGCCACACACACACACUCUCUCCUUUCUUUCCUGUACGCUCUCAUCUCUCUCGGACUCUUACUCUCUUUCUCUCCUUCGAACUCGUACAGACAAACAUCCAAAGCCCUUGAAACUUCAUGGAUCGAAGCUUUAAAGGUAAGGUUCUUACUCAUUGAAACCUCCUGAGUACAUUGAUACCUUUGUUUGGACGUGAGUGCUUCGAAAACCCGAGAAAACCCUAACCCCGAUUUUGUGCAUUGUUCAUGCACACGUAAAACCUUGUGUUUCAGGAAAUUCUAAGGACAUAGGAAGCUUAAGGAGGUCCUCACGAGUCUAAGGGUACUUCGUUGGAAGGAUUUGGACGUCGGAGGAUUGAGAUCGACGUGUUUCUAGGUAAGCCGAGCUAUCGACCUUUCUCAAGAAACAUCUAGUAGAAUUUAAGCCUUGAAACUUGCAUAACGUGAUUCUACAUGUUAUUAGCUUCAUUUUGGUACCAAUUUCAUGAAAAAUGGUUGAAAAAUGAGUGAGAAUAGUGGGUUUAAAGUUUUACCCAGUUUUCCGGCGACAGGCGACUCGCCUGAAAAGAUGAUGGCAUAUUCUGUCAAUUUGGACGGAAUAUGCUGAUGCCGUCAGUCAGUUUUAACGGAAUCUGUUAGGUUUAACGGAAUAUUCCUUAACGGUGGUUAGGGAAUCCGUCAGGUUUGGCCAUGCGUAGGGGUGUGUUUUGCCGUGCCAUUGCCGGCGCGUGGGGGCGCGUGAGUCUUCCAAAAAAAUUUCUAAAAAUUUGGGGAUGAUCCUGAGGUUGUGUAGAUCACUGUGGUAUAUUCAUAUACCCAAUUUGAGUAAUGUAUGAGAAGUUAUUAGCUAGUUUUGCCUAUGUGCUUUAAAAUAAUGUUUUUAUAGUUAAUUCGCAUAUAGGUGAGACUUAUCCCGAGGACGAGCGUAUCCACGGGCGACUUGGGGGCUACGACCCUUCGACAUACCAGUGAGUGGGCUGUUGUUUUCAGUAUAUAUUUAUAUGCUUGAUAUAUUUCCCAGAAAUGCAUUUUAAGGAAAAUAUGCGUUGAAAUAAUGUGCCAAAUGCUUUUAUAUUCUGAAUAUGCAUUUCAUGGUUGCAUAUAAAUAAAUGUGGUGCUGUGGAGGUACAGGUAAGUUCAGGUAAGUUAUGUUUGGUUAUGUGAAUCAUCGAUGAUGUGAUAUGUGAUUGAAUAAUGUUGAGCUCAUAAAACUGCACCUAGGGUGAUUGUGAUUUAGCUAGAGAUAUGAAGUACAUGCCUGUUUAUUUACGUCACUUCCCACACUAUAUGCUCAUAUUGGAUUCAACUUAAGUGCACAAUCUUGUCGUACAGACCUUAUUCAUGGUUCCGUAGGUGACUAGCGAUUUAUCGCCCGGCUAUUAUGAGAGAAUAGAAUUGAGCAUAAUUAUAUUUCACCCAAUCUUGUUGUGCAGACCCUUUUUAGUGGUUCCGACAUAUGUGCAGUAUAUUGCCGUAUAGGUCAUUGUAGUGACUCCGGCUAGAUUGACUUUUGAGCUAUGAAUUCAGCCGUACAGACCACCUUAGGGGUCCCGGCUAACAUAUCAUAUUUCUAUGAAAUCAUUCUUACCUAGAUUGUUUACUUUGCUAUAUUUUGGCAUGACAUACAUAUGAAUAUGAUUAUGUGAAGCAUGAAUUGAAUUGUUAUGAUUUCAGAUAUAUAUAUAUAUAUAUAUGCUUAUAUCUUAAUUUUGGGAAAAUUUUACAUGUUUUACAGCGAGGGGUUAGUAUGUUGAUAAAUGAAAUGGUUUUGUAAAACAUUUGUUUUUACCCACUCACGUUUUCUGUUUUGCGCCCCUCCAGGUUUUAAGUAAACUUGCUGUUGGUGGCUUGAGGACGUCGGCAGUUCUGACUUAUCUAAAUAAUAGUAGGACAUUUCUGGUAUUGUAUAACUAGUACUUGUCCUACUGGACUGCACCUAGACUUUAUGCUCUGAUUAGAAGUGUUCACUGUUGUAACUAACUCCUAUCACUUUCUGUUUAGUAGUGCACUCUAGUAAUUUGGUUUUUAAUUAUUCGUAUAUUUCGUAUCUUUAUUGCUUCCGCACUGUGUACAUGGCUACGUCACUCUCAUGUGAAGACCAGCAUGCCUUGAUCUCGGUCGGGGUGUGUCACAACCCGUCCCAAAUUUUACAAUUUUAUAAAUUUUAAAAGCGUGAAUUAACGAAAAUGCCCUGGAGGUGAGGACUUUGAUUUAUGUUGACCGUCGUCUAGAGGAACGUAUGACUUAUUAUUUUGGCAUAUUCGUAUAGUACUCGUUGGUACGAACGCAUAGGCGAAAGCCGUUUACGAGUCCGGAUUAUAACGGUAUAGUUACGGACGUUUGAAAUUGGUUAGUUAAAGUUUAGUUUAAAUUAUUAGAACUCCCACCUUGUGGAAGUGGCCACCAAUCAGAUUUUUAAAAAGGUUAGGAGCUGCCCAAUCAGGAGGAGGAGAAGGAGGGGAAAAGAGGGACCCAAAAUAGGUCAUUUUUGACCCGCGAACCACCAUUUUUGACCCGGCCAUAUCUCCUUCAUACGACCUCCGUUUUGGGUGAUCUUGGUGUCCAUGGAAAGCCCUUGAUGAGCCCUACAUCCUGGUAGUGUUAGAUUUCCCAAUUUCUUUCCAAUUUUUCCAGUUCGAAGCCACAAACCCACGGGUGUUUAGGCGGCUCCGGCAAGUUUCACCGUCCAUGACCACCACAAAAAGGCUUCCCUCAACCCCAUGAACAAGCCCAAGCAGUGUUGGAGGUGUCAGAGUUCGAUUAGAAGUUGAAUCAAAGCACAGCCUUUUCUAGGGUUUCAGCGGGUUUAAGUGAAAUUGGAGCCUUUCUUGGCUAAAUUGGACUUGGCCACAGUUUUCGGCGACCUCCGCCACUUUCGAGGCAUUUUCUUGCCAAAUCACGGUGAGAUAGCCAUCGUGUAAGGUUGCCCAGAAAUUUCGGCGAGUUACCAGUUUUCCCGCGGACAGCCGUAUUUCAGACCAUUUUCCGGCCACCUCCGGCCACCAUUUGGACUCCAAGCUAGUAUAAUCUUGCUCUACAUUUCUCUAGCUUCGAUUUGGUAUAUUAUGGGUUGAAUUUGGUUGAGAAACAAGUGAGAUAUGGAGUUCCAAAGAUCGCCCAAGAAAUCUACAAAAACUGCAGAAUCCGGCAAAGUCCCAUUAAGGUCCACCACUUGAUUAGAAUAGUAAUCGACUAUCCGACCGUUAGAUCAUCACCAAACUUUAAUACAUUAUAGUAAGUAAUAUUUAAGGACCAAUGAAACUUACAGAUCAGGAAUCCGACCUACGGAUCUUCUCGAAUUGGAUGUGUAAGUUUAUAAAAUAAAUGUUAACCGCCACUUGGUUUUGGGCAAUUGGAGAAGAUCCGACCGUUGGAUCGCAAUGAAAUUUUAGUAUGUUAUUCUAGAAGCAUAGUAUGGAUCUUUGGAAGUUACGGAUUGAAAAUCUAAUAUGCGGAUCUGCCGAAUCGAGUUAUAUAGAGUUGUAGACCCUACCAUCGAUCUUUGAUCGACGAUUGACUUAUGGUCAAUGGGUCUCAAACUACUUUAGAAUGUCCUUGAGGAUGUGUUUUAUGUGAAUUACGUAUUCUAUUUAUGAGAGUUCUGAGAUGUGAUUCUAUAAUUGUUCCAAGCACCAAUCAUUCGAGACACCUCGAUACGCGUGCUAGAGAAUCAUAGCAUGGACUCUAGGUGAGUGGGUCUUUUCCUUUUAUCAUAGGUACAUAAUUGAUAGUUCCUCAAAUGCUUCUAAAGUGAAUUGUGCAUGUUACCUACAAUUAAUUAUAGUGAACUACGAAUGGCUUGAUCCCUUUAAGGUACGUAGGCGGUCUAACGAGACGUUAGUGCAACCACAUAAUAAAUGAGACCAAAUAACGGAGACAAUUGCCUUGUUUAGGGAAUUGAGUAAUGUGAGGGACAUUGGUGGAAAAUAUAAGAUUUAACCUUAUGAUUUGGUGGUUAAUUAUUGGUCAUAAAUUAAUGUAUGAAGAAUCAGGAAAAUGAAGUAAGGAAAUGUAAGUAAUGAUAGUUAAUUAAACUAGUAUCUAAUUGGGCUUAUCAUUGAUAAUUAUCUCCGAAAAUAAGUAGUUCGGGAGUAGGGCGUUAUGGCUUAUGCAUUUUAUGCCAUAUAUAUAUAUAUAAAUUUAGGAAUACAAUGUUAUAGUUGAAUUUUAGAUUGCAUCAUGACAUAUUCAUAUGUGUAUUACUUGAACCUAAUUAUUGUGAAUGCUUCGAGGUGCUAAAUGAUGCCGCGGACACCCAGGUAAGUUUCAGAUGAGUACAUGUUGAUGAUAGUGAUGGUAGUGAGUAUGUUGAUGAGAUAUUGAUUGGCUAGCAUGUUGAUGAGAUAUUGACUCAGCCGUACAGGUCACGUGAGGUGACUCUGGCCAGUAUAUUGACGAGAAAUGUGAUGAGAUAUGGAUAAGGAGAUAUUGACUGGCUAGCAUGUUGAUGAGAUAUUGAUUCAGUCGUACAGGUCACUAAAGGUGACUCCGACUUAUGAGCUAACAUAUAUAUGAUGAUAUAUGAUGAGAUGCUAGCAUAUAUUUAUGAUGAAAUAUGUAAUGAGAUGCUAGCCUAUAUGUGAUGAGAUGCUAGCAUAUAUUUAUGAUGAAAUAUGUAAUAAGGUGCUAGCCUAUAUGUGAUGAGAUGCUAGCAUAUAUGUGAUGAUAUAUGAUGAGAUGCUAGCAUAUAUUUAUGAUGAGAUAUGUAAUGAGAUGCUAGCCUAUAUGUGAUGAGAUGCUAGCAUAUGUGAUGAAUAUGUUAUGAGCUAGCAUAUGUGAUAAAUAUGAGACGAGCUAGCAUAUGUGAUGAAUAUGUGAUAUGCUAGCAUAUGUGAUGAAUAUGUGAUAAGCUAGUAUAUGUGAUGAAUAUGUUACGAGCUAGCAUAUGUGAUGAAUAUGUGACGAGCUAGCAUAUGUGAUGAAUAUGUUAUGAGCAAGGUAUUAAAUAUCGAUGAUAUCGGAAAUAUCGGUAGUCCGAAAAUACGGAAAUAUCGGGAUAAUAUCGAUAUCGAUAAAAAUAAUAUGGAAACCACGGAAAUUGUAAGAAAAACUUGGAAAUUUUUAUUGAAACUUUGCAGGAUGUUUAUUUAGUCAAUUAUCUAUUAGUUUAUCAUAAAAAAUUGGAAGGAAAUGCAUUGCAUGAUGGAUUUAACAUUAUCAAGUUGAUUAUAUAGCGAGCUGGCAAACAUUGUGAGUGUAGAAAAUAUGUAGUAAUUAAUGAAAGAAGUUUAAACACACCAUAAUCAUUUAUAUAUAAUGAAUUAGUACAAUAUUUUACACUUUAUACAUUACAUGGUAAGAUACAUGAGUAACUUAGUACCACAUAGAGUUCCUAUGAGGUUCAAAUUUUUCACUAUCUUCAUCAUCUCUGUGUAGAGUGAGUGUAUUUUGAAGAGUAGUUAUCAAAUGAUAAAUCCCCAAAAUAGUUUUGCAUGUAAUUGUUAACAUGCCACCCAUAUGGAUCCGAGAUUGGUUGACCUUGUCCAUAAGCAAAAUCAUUUGGAGAUUGAGUCUCAGAUUGUUUCCAUGAGUCGCUCGAUUCCAUCCCAACAGGAAUGGGAUAUAAAAGGUAGGAAAAUGGUUGGUUAUGAGUAUAACCAUAGUUACUACUUCCCACUCCAACAGAGUCCGAAGUUAUAGAUAACGAGUCAUCUUCUUAACUUGACAAAAUCCCCUUGCCUCUUUCUCUACGAGUAGUCCUUCCCUAUGGCACCAAUUCCUGGUAUGCCCGCCUACUGCCAUGGUCCUCAUCCUGUUUUGCAUGCGUGAAGUUUGCCUUACCAGUGAAGGGGCUCAUAAAUCCGGGAGGUGGUCCAACAUAGUUUCCAUAUCCACCACGACUAUCUUUAGCUCUACUAUAUCCUUCAUCAUUCCCACCUUCGGUGGUAGGUGAGUCUCCUCCUGAUCUUGUACUAGAGAUAUCAUUAGUAUCAGCACGAUGUUGUGGUUGUGUAGGAUUGGAAGAAGGUGGAAUUCCAGUGUUUCUUGGUCUUGGGCGCAAAAGUUCUUCCAAAGUGUCAGCGCUGCUAGAUCCCGCCUCUUCCGCUAAUACUCUUUCUACAUUUAUCCCUUCAUUACGUGCUUCUUCAGCAACUUUGGGAGCUGGGUUGCCUUCAUCAUCAUCUAAAUGAAGAGGUCUAAUCCAUUGAUAAAGUUGGUUACCCUCUGUAUCAUCAUCUUCAGCAACAAUAUCAAACACAUCUAGUGGGUCACCAUGGUCGUCAUGAUCUAUUUCUGCUUCCUUAUCUCGAAUUUGAAGCAUCAUGUUAUAGUAGCAAUAAACUAAUUUUUCCAACCGACUAUGAGCCAACCUAUAUCUUUGCAUUGUGUGUAUGAGUGCAAAUGUGCUCCAAUUUCUUUCACAAGCAGAUGAGGAAGCUGUUUGUGAUAAUACUUUGAUUGCUAACUUUCUCACAGUUGGUGCAUCGGUCUCAUACAUGAUCCACCAUUCAACUACAAUGAAAAACAAUGUUGAUAAGCCUAAUAACUCCAAAAAAUUCUAUUAUAAACUUAUCCUGAAAUAUGUUUACACUCAUUAGGAGACAUUUUUGUUCGAGCAGCAACUGAUGUUGGUUCUCCAAAAGUUCUUCUUGCAUCUCUAAACCAUGUUAGCUGAAUUCAAUAAAUCGUGUUAGUUUAAUCCAACAAAGUAAUUAUUAUAAUUUAAGUAAUUGUGUACCUCAUUUCCAAAUUGGCCAACUGCUGGUGAUGCAAGGUUUAAUUUAGAGUAUACAUUAUGUACAACACGUAUAAGGGUACCAUCAUCUCCAACACCGGGUCUGUAUUGGUAUCGAGGAUUCAAAUAAUAUGCUGUUCAAAGAAACACAUACUCUAAUAAGAGAAAUAAUACUUAUGCAACUAAAGAAAUGAAUUGCAAAUUAUGACAUAAUUUAUACCUGCUGCAUGCAAAUCGUGGUAUAAUGUUUUAUACUAUCAGUCUUCAAUUAUCUUUAUGACCCACCUUGCACCUUGUUUUCUUUCCAAUUUAUCCUUCACUACACGCAUCAACUCAUAUAUUGCCCCCAUAGUAGGGUACACUUUUGUGUCAACGAUCCGUAAAACUUUAUAAAGAGGUUCAAACACUUGGCACACAUGUUCUGAUUGUGUCCAAAAAGCAUGAUCAAGCACUAUACUUUCCACCAUACGACCUGCAUUUGAGCGGCUCAAAUUGUGGUUGGCCCAAUCGUCACCAGUGAAUAGUUGCUUCAACCCUGCUUUCUUCUUAAGUACGCUGUCUAAUGCAAUAUAGUUGGUGGCGAAUCGAGUGGUAGCGGGACGAAUAAUGUCUCCUUUGCAAAAUUCACGUAUCUUUGCCAACAACCAACCGUGAUUGUAAAUAUAAUUUGUGAUCGUUCUAGCUCUUUUUACCACAGUAGCAACAUUCUCUCUCUUCCCCAUUGCCUCAAACAUGAGAUCAAUACAAUGUGCUGCACAUGAUGUCCAAAACACAUUAUGAUGCUUCAUUAAUUUUUUUCCAGCUUUGACAAAUGCAGACGGUUGUCGGUCACGACUUGGACAACAUUAUGCUCUCCCACCUCCAUGAUUACAUCUCUCAAUAAUUUGUAAAUAUACUUGUACUUCUUUAUAUGGUCUGAAGCAUCAAUAGACGUAAAAAAAAUUGUCUUUCCCUUGGAGUAUACCAUGAAGUUUAUGAUAGACAAUCUGGUCGGGCCAGUCCAUCCGUCACACAUGAUUGUGCAACCAUUAGUUUCCCACUUUGACCUCAACUUGUUAACAUACUCGCCAAUGUCUUUAUACUCCAUAUCCAAAUAUUUGUUUCUUAUCUCAUAGGGAGUGGGAGGUUGUACUCCAACACCGGCAUGUUGACAUCCCACUACCAUAUUUUUUAAAUGAUGUGAUGAUGCUUUCUCAGCAGGGACAUUUUCAUAGAUAAAGAACUUGCUAAUUAGACGCCCUAUUCCCUCCUUCACAUUACCUCCAGUGAAAUAACUCCAAACACUCUUUUGACGUGCUUUGGAUGACUUAUAUAAACUUGGUGCUAUUGGUGGUGUUGGUUAUGAUUCUCUAAGACUGCCUCCCCGUCUCAUUUGUGCAUCACCACUUGUCCCGGAACCUUGUGCUCUAUUAGGAAUUUUAUGAAGUUGUUCUCUUUCCCAUGCUGACUGUUUGGAGGCACGUAAUGCUUGUUUCAAACUGCGUCGUUCUUCAGGUCCUAUGUCAUCAUCACAUUCGUCCUCAUCGUCAUCAUCAUCACUAUCAACCGCUUGGCCAAUGACUUAUCCUCGUAGCCCAGCUCGAAUAUUUCCAUUCCAAGUGUUAUCUUUUCCUUCUGCUGUUUUUUUUUUUAAUAAUGUGGUGAUGAAUGCCUUCACUUCUGGGGGGACAUUAUCGCAUCGUUGAACAUUAUGUGCUGGAUCUAAUCCACUAAAAUGGUACUUAAGUCAUGUCACUCCGCCACUCUUCAUUACCCGACCACAAUAUUUGUAAAUUGUGCCAUGUUUGUUUCCGUCUAUUGGGUCUCCAUGUUCCCAAGCUGGAUCACGUUUAGUAACUCCACUGGACAUCUUAAACGUACCUAUAUUUAUUUUUCAUGAAAAUUAGGCAAUUAUUUUUUGGCCAAAAAAUAUAGUAGUGACAGAAACAUAUUAAAUAGGAAGUAAAGAAAAUAGGAAGUAAAGUUAUUUUACAGAAGAAUUAAAUAGGAAGUAAAGAAAAUGAUUGUAAGAAUUUAAGUAAUUAUAAAAAUAAUAUGGAAUAAGAAAACCUAAUAUUAAUGAAUAAUAAUCCAAUUUGAUAAUAAAAUAAUAAAUAACAUUAAACAUAUUAAAAUUAUUCUAGGGAAUAAUUAUACAACAUUACUUAAUUACUUCAAAAAAUUAACAUGCAAGUAUAAAUUACAAUAAUAUAAAUAUAAGUUCGUAAACUUACCUUAAAUAUGGAACCCUUUGUGUUGAACCUCUGGAAUAGAUCUGGAAUGACUCUGAAAGGGGUAAGGGAAGAAGAAGAAACAAAAAGGUGUAAUAGAUGUUUUAAUUUUCGAAGGGUCAAAAAAUGUGUGAUGAUCUGAUACUCCACCUCUGAGAAUGUGAAAGAAUAACACAGUGGCACACGAUUUGAAUGGUCUGAAAUUGUAAAAGUUGUCCAUGGUCUGAUACUUCACCAUUAUUUUUGUCCAUGUUCUGAAAUUGUACAAGUUGUAAUUGUAAAAGUUGUCUGGGUUUUGAAUUAUUUAGAUGCUUUUGAAUGAAACCACCAUUAUUUUUGUCCAUGGUCAAAAAAUGUGUAAUCAUCUGAUACUCCACCUCUGAGAAUGUGAAAGAAUAUCACGCGUGGCACACGGUUUUGAAUCUUGAUGCAUGAAACCACUAUUAUUUUUGUCUUGGUCAAAAAUUGUACCAUUCCUAAAAGCUGUAAAAGUUUAAUUAUUUAGAUGCUUUUCUUUUCUCACACCGUCACACACCACCUACACACACACACACACGCCACCGACACACACACACACUCACACACAGGGAUCACACACGCCACCACACACGCACAACAACACACGCACACACGACUCGUCUCUGGAUCAUUCUCUCUUCUCCCCUCCCUUCUCCCACAAACACACACACAAAUCUCACAGAUCUCUUGAAUUCUUGAUCAUUCUCUCUUCUCCCUUCUCCCAUACACACGCACAGAGACCUUUCUCGAUCCUUCUUCCACAUGGCAUUCUCCUCCUCCCUCGCCUUCCUCCUUGUCCGCAUAUUCCGCCUCGUCGACGAACCCAUGAACUCUCUGGCGAGUUCUCUUGAUCCUUCUCCGCCUUCCUCACCGAUCCUACUGACAACAACCCCACCUCUGUCGUUGACUUCAACGACGACCACCAUGACCCCCAAUCGCCCCUAAACCCCAACCUCAACCUCCACAACAACCACCCAUUCUCCUCCUCCUCUCGGAGCCUGCCCCACCGGCGCCGCGCUAGCCUCCGUCUAUGUUCCACGUCUACUUCAACCAAGACCACGCCUACUUCGCCGUAGGGACAGACCACGGGUUUUGGAUCUACAACUGCGAUCCGUUCUGCGAGCUCUUUUGCCGCAACUUCGACAACGGCGGGGGAAUCGGCGUCGUUGAGGCGCAUAUCUUGGGUUUGAGCAUGGAUUGUAGAGAGAUCUAGGCAGCUGGCACGACACAGCCUCGGCUGCCUUUCCGACGACGGAUCCACGAUGACUUUUUCGAUAAUAUUGAUAAUAUCGCGAUAUUUUGACGAUAAUGAGACAGAUACGUGGGAAAAUAUCGGUGCCACUGAAAAACGAUAAUAUCGUCGAUAUUAUCGAUAUUUAAUACACUGGUUAUGAGCUAGCAUAUGUGAUGAAUAUGUGAUAGGCUAGCAUAUGUGAUGAAUAUGUGAUAGGCUAGCAUAUGUGAUGAAUAUGUGAUAAGCUAGUAUAUGUGAUGAAUAUGUUAUGAGCUAUCAUAUGUGAUGAAUAUGUGAUAGGCUAGCAUAUGUGAUGAAUAUGUGAUAAGCUAGCAUAUGUGAUGAAUAUGUUAUGAGCUAUCAUAUGUGAUGAAUAUGUGACGAGCUAGCAUAUGUGAUAAAUAUGUGAUAAGCUAGCAUAUGUGAUGAAUAUGUUAUGAGCUAGCAUAUGUGAUGAAUAUGCGAUGAAAAUACAAUAAGCUAACCUAAGUGAUGAAAUAUGUGAUGAAUUAGUAUAUGUGAUGAGAUAUAAGUAAGUCGUACAAGUCAUCAUAGGUGACUCCGACUUGCGUACUAGUAUGAGUUAUUAACCACAUGAUUAUUUGAUAUUGCCGAUGAGAUGCUGUCUGGUGGUAUAAUUAUGAUAUUUUUCUGGAAAUUAUACUGGUGUUGUAGCGAGGGGUUAUAUUAUUUUAUAUAGUUUCUAUUAAAAUUAUAUUUGCAGGGCCACUCACCUUUGUUUUGUCUUCACCCUCCAGGUUUUAUUAGAUGAGCUUCCUUAUCGUCGAAGAUUCGUGACAAUUCUUAGUAUUGGAGAUUAUUUCGAGGAUACGAUUCUUAAUUCACUCUUAUGUACUUACUUAUGCUCUAAUGUCACGUGUGAAGUAGGUUCAUUUCCACUCACUGGUGCACUCUGGUAUUUAAGCACUCUUAGGUUUAAAUUUAUUCACAAUUUUCCACAUCAUCAUACUUUAUGGCUUCGUCACCUUCCAGGUGUCGACCAGCAUAGCUCGAUUCGGAGUCCUAGUGGACAUUUCGGGUCGGGGUGUGUCAUUAUGGGUUAACCCAAAGAGUGGAGAUAAUCUUAUUAAACCAUUUUAUACUUAUACUUUUUUACAAUGGUAUAACUUAUUAUUGUACUUAGCGUCAAAACAACUUCACAUUAUUGUUCAAUAAUUAUUUCGUUUUUAGUUUUAGUACUACUAGAGAUAGAGAAGAUAUAUUGAAGACAAAGAUAUAUACGCGGUAGAAGAAGGAAGCUUGGAGGGAUGUUGAGGAAAUGUAAUGGAAUUAUAUACAAAUUAAAAACUGCAAACCAAAGUCUGGAAAUAAUUCUAAAUUGUUUUCACUUUCAACUUUUUGUUUCAUAUAUUCUCCCUUCCUUCCCCUCACCAUUCUUGCUUCACCCUUCUUCACGAAUCGAUAGACAGAUCCAAAUAGAGGACACAAUGACCAUGUAUGUUUUAUUGAGACAUAAAAUUGGAGUGAAAAAUAUUGAGUACAAAAAAUAUUAUCUCAUUUCAAAUAAUUUAAAAAGCAUAACAAAUGCGUAAGAGUUUUUUAUUUUAUUUUAUUUUUCACGUAUAGAUGUGCAUAAAUGUAGCUACAAAUGUCAAAUUAAAAAUGAUAUACAAAUAGAGCAAAAAUUGGCUGGGCCCAAACUCAACUUGUGAGGACUAAGUUCAUUUUUGGGCAAUCGUUUGUACCGGCCUUCUUCUUUGUCUAACGGUUAAUUGCGGUAGCAUGAAUCCUCAAGGUUCUGGCUUCGAAGGCUGGUAUUUGCGAUGGUGAUGAUGAUGAAUCAAUGAAUGAAUGAGAGGCUGGUAAUUAAAAUAAUUUAUGUCCACACGAUGUACGAUGAAUGGACACGAUUUGAAGAUUCUAAUUUCUUUAACCAAAUAAGGCAUUCUAAAAUACCUUUGUUUUUCUAUAAUUUCCACAUGGAAAAUGAUAUGCUUCUUUUGUUUUUUUUUUUUAAUUUGACAUUAUUAAGGGAAGAAGAAGUUUCGAAUAUGGAAUACAUAAGUAGAAACAAAUACAUGCCAUGUUACAAAUGGUCAAAUUAAUAAAAAUGACUAAACAAUGGUGUAAUUGGUUGGGCCCAAAUACAAAGUUUAAAUAAGAUUUUUGCAUGAAUUUUGCACUGGUCUUCUUCAUGGCCUGAUGUACAAGUGCUGAAGCUUGCUUCCAUUAGGUCUCAGGUUCGAAGGCUGGUAUCCGUUGAGAUGGCGAGUUUGAUGAUGGUCAGGCAUGUGUAUGUGUAUAUAUGUAUGUGUGUUGUGGUAGAGAACCCUUGGAUCAAAUUUCAAGGGAUCUGAAUCCCUUUCCCAUUUCCCAUAUAUAUCUAUACAUAAAAACAAAAUGAGGUAUUUAAAAUACCUCUGUUUUUUUCAAAAGUAAUGUUAGUGAGAUUUUUUUUUAUCAAACGAUUGAUUUUGUUAGAUUAGAUAUUACAGAGAUUAAACUUAAAGCUAAAAUUUUGUAAGUUAAAUGACAUGAAAGUUGAUGAUUGGAUUGUUACUCAAAUGUUGAUUAACGUGCUUAUUUCUUAUUACUGACACAUCAUUUAGUUUAGAAAUUUAGUUUAUCUAACAUUACUCAUUUUUUAUAUAGUUUUCUCCUCUUUGUUUUAUUUUAUUUCGUUCCAUUUAUUAGGUUAACACCAAUUAUACUAUUUUGCAUUCUAUACUUUAUUUCUUAUGCAAUUGUAUAAUUUAUUUCGUCAAAAUGUAGUUCAAUUUAAGAUUUUGUUAACAUGCUAUCAACUAAGUAUAGCACAUAAAAAUGUGUGUGUGUGUGUGUGUUAAUCGGCAACUAUGCUAAAAUAAUUAAUCGGCAACUAUGCUAAAAUAAUACUAUAAAAUUUUAAUAUUUAUUUUUUAAUAAACUUUAAAAAUAUGUCUU
rnacentral:lncRNA from 1 species